GUACGGCAUUCCGUGACGGAAAUGCAGACGCCACUGCUGCCUGCAGCCCUGCAGGAGAGAAGCAGUACGACUGAAGCUUGUGAGCCAUGACACAGGCCAACGUGGCCGAAAGCCUGAGCCACGCCCACGCUCUCUCUCUCUCUCUCUCUCGUUCUGCCGAGCGUAAAAACUCCGGUGCAGAGCCACUCUACCAUGUGAGGAGCUCAGCUCCGCUCUGGAGCAGCGUGGAAGGGCCUCCUAUAAAACCCAUUUCCCUUCCACCGUCGCUGCACACAGACUGCACUGCGCCACCACCAUAUCCGAAAUAGCUCAGCUCAGCCUCAGCUGCACUUCCCACCGAGCUCGGCUGGACUGGUGACACGGUUACACACGCCAUGGCUCCCCUGCUCUUCAAGGACAUGAGGAGCCUCUCGUGCUCGUCGCCGGCGUCAACCGCCAUAUGCCCCAGCCUGGAGCGGCAGCCCAUCUUCCGCCCGCAGAAGCCCGGCGCCAGCCCGCUCUUCCAGGUGGUUCCCGCCGAGCCCAGAGCCCACAGGCAGGACGGCAAGAAAGGGCACCACCACCACCACCGGCCUGGCGCUGCCAAGGGCGACCUCGUCAGCCCGGCCGGCUCCUCCAGGUUCCUGCUCAGCGGGUGCGCCGCCGUCGACGAGAUCCAGGAGGUGGCCACGGCGCCCCCGGCUGCUGCCCCCGGUGGUGAUGUCAGAAGGGAGGAGCCGGCUGCUGCUGCUGAUGUGAAGAGCACGGACUCUACGCAGGAGCAGGUGAGGAUUACACUGCAGUUCUGUUGUGAAUCAUUGCUCAUUUUUUUGCCAUACUACUCGUGUUCUGAAGAUUUGAUACCACUCGUCUUCAUACCUCAAUCAAAGGAAAAAGAAAGACAGAGGAAAAUACUGAGUAGGUGGCGAUGAUGCUAUCGUCAGUAAUCAUAUCAGUGUUAGCUUCAGAGAAUAAUACAGUGCUUAAUUUUAUUCGGCGAUUUGAUUGAGGUAUCUGAACUUUUAAGCCAAAGAUGCGGAAAUACAAUGAUGACAAGUAGUACAUGCAGUAUCUUUUGUGUGGGAAUGAUUGGUUAAUUUGUUGGACACGUAUUCCGAAACAGAUUGCUUCGUUUUACACCGUAAUGAGUAGUUGAAAGCGUGGUUGCUCUGAAGUGAUUAAGCACUCUCCUAAAUUAGUUUGGCGGUCAUGGUUGCAGGUGGUGGUGCUGAAGGUGUCCCUGCACUGCAAGGCGUGCGCCGGCAAGGUGAAGAAGCACCUCGCCAAGAUGGAAGGUGAGUCGGCACCAACAUCUCUGAAACUUUUCCUUCGGAGUUCGGUAAAAUUGCAGAUACAGAUAACCAAGCCGCGCCUGUUUCUGAAGGUGUUCGGACGUUCAGCAUCGACUUCGCGGCGAAGAAGGUGACGGUGGUGGGGGCCGUGACACCGCUCGGCGUGCUCGCCAGCGUCUCCAAGGUCAAGAACGCGCAGAUCUGGGAGGCGGCGCCGGCGCCGCCGCCGCAGCCCGCCAUGGCCGCCUAGCUCGCCGAAUAGGCCGACCGGGCGGACCAAGAAGAAGCCUAGGAUUCCGACGGGUCCUGGUCCAUGGUAGGUAGAGGUAGCCGUAUGUGUACUACUACGUGAGCAUGUCAGCACGGACGUCAGUACUCGGUGGGGGGGCCGGCAGGCAGCCGCUGACGGAGGCCAGGCCGUGCCGGCCGGCCGGCACGCUGGACCAGCGGCGAGCGGACGUGGCGCUGUGCGUGACACGGGUGCACAUGCAUGUCGUUCGUCGUGGGGCGCGGCGCUCCCCCAACGGGCAGAAGCUGCCGUUGGUGCUGUGGAUCGGUGUUGGUGUUGGUCUCGUGAUGUUUUUGUUUGGUUGUGUUCGGCGCGUGGUGUUUCUUCUCUUGUCAUCAGACUCGGACCGUGCGUGUGUGGCUCUGUUCGUUUCAUCUUCUCUGCUGUGUUUUUUUUUUUUUGCGGGAAUGCUGUGAUAUAUUUUCAAAAUAAGUGACUUAAAAAUAACUUUAUUUUAAGUUAUUUAUUUAUUUUGGGACGGAGGAAGUAACAUGCAUGAGCGUUCCAUGUGCAGACGUGCUGCUGCAUUACAAAUUGUGCACAGACGUACGCGUGCUUUUGUUGCAGUGAUGCCCAACGCAAAUCUUGAUGCUCUUUUACAUUGCAGAAAAGCUAGGCGACCCAGCUUGCGUAUGCAUGAAGAAAAGUUAAGUCAAUUAUUUUGAUGAAAUACUAUAUCUCUAUCCCAUAUGAGGGCAUCUUCAAUGCUGACAUGUAACUAUCUCCGUUAUAUAUUCAUUUUUUUGUCUUCCCCCAGAUAUGAUGUGGAUGGGAGUUAUUGAACGCUAAUUACAAAAUAUCCUGUUUAAAGAAGAAACAAUAGGUGGGUGCUAUUUGUAAAGUGCGUUGAAAAAAAAUUCAAAAAGAAAAGAUGCAGUACAGUAGUGAUAAGUAUUUUUUUUCAAUGAAAAUCAAGGUUAUCGAAGCAAUAGGAGAAUCACACAAAUACCCGUCUUCAGCACCUAGACAACAAAAUAGCAAACACUUGCACCCAAGCAGAAAAAAUGGUUGUCAAGCCACUUGAUCUCGUUAUUUGCAAGUGAUAAGUAGUGAUCGAUAGAUAAUAUAAAUAUAAAGUAAAAUAACAAUAGUAACAGAGCAGCAAUAUUUUUAAUGUUUUGUAAUAUGAUUUAUGAAGAUACGGGGGUCAUAGUUUUCGCUAGAGGCUUUUCUCUCGAAGAAAGCUUACGGUAGGUAAACAAAUUACUCUUAGAAAAUUAUUAAAAAAGCGUAUAAUAAUGUAAUAUUUAUUAACGACAAUGAUCACAUAUGUAGGCAUCACGUUCAUAAACAAACGAGUAUGACUACGCCAACCAUGAUCUCUAGAUCGUUAACGUUUCCGGUCUACAAGGGUAUGCGAACACCUCUCCCUUUCGUUGCUAGCAUCUCCAUGGAUGUUCCGUAGGAAUAUUUGUUGUUUUUCAUGCAAUGUUUCCCAACAUAAGUUUGUCCUCGAGUUCAUAGGUUCACCAGUAUCAUCUCUUCAAACAAGAACGACAUGAUAAUAUAAGGAUAGGUAUGUGUAAUGAGCAAUCAAACAACUAAUGACAAAUAAAAUCAUUCCUUGUGGUGAUAUUAUGUGGGAACUAUGUUGAUGAAUGCAUAGAUCGAAAUCCAUCUACAUCUAUGGCCAAUACUCGACCUAAGAUGUCCUCAACCCAUGUGAUUUCACCCUGACUAUUAUGUAACAAAACAUAAUAUUGUAUUAAGUAACAAAACAUAGCAUUGCAUUAAGUAAGAUGUCAUAGAAUUGAUAAUAUUCCCCACACGUUGUGUUCAUCACUUGGACAAUGAGUCAAAUGCAUUUUUUACCUUAAGUGAAUCUACUCCAUAUAGUGCAUAACACUAGCUCUAUUUAUUUUGCAUCUAAAUUGACCAAUGAUUAGAAUAAUAUAUUAAAGAGCAAUAUACAUCUUUAAAUCACAAAAUGUAAUAUGUAUAAUAUAAUCAUAAAGCAAUAAUUCAUCACAAACAUAAAGAUUCACCAUGAUUUACAUCGAAUAGAUCAUAAUCAUGUACAAAAACUUAAAGAUUCACCAUGGGUUACAUCGAAUAGAUCAUAAUCAUCACAAACAUAAAGAUUCACCAUGGGUUACAUCGAAUAGAUCAUAAUCAUCACAAACAUAAAGAUUCACCAUGGGUUACGUCGAAUAUAUUAAAGUUCAGUACAUAAAGAUCAAUGUACUAAAGCAUGGGGGAGAAGGUGCUUCAUAGACAUUGCCAUGAACCCGUAAUCUUGAGGAUGGACAAUUCACACCUCGUGAUGGAGUAGUGGAGUUUGACAUUGAUCUAGCACGCGAUGAUUCCUCCUACGACAUAGUACCGAAGCAUGGCUAGUGAUCUAUUUUCUUCUUGGAUCGCGAUAUGGAAAUGACCAAAUAUUGCACGGUAGUUUAGAGGUGAGUUUCCGCAAAAGUACCCUUCUGAGCUCGAGCUCAAAGUAGAAUUUUUGGAGCAUCAAUAUUAUUUUUAUUUGUCACGCCUUCCACGAAUGUGAUCACAUGUUGAAAAUUUGCAAGAACUUAGAAAAAUGUCAAAGUUUAUCAUAAUUUUUUUACUGGUCAUCCGAGAUCAUUUCAGCUCAAGUUCUGAUACUCCUCGUCCCAAGUUUUCCGGUAUUUACAAGCUUGUGGACUAAAACCUCUUAGAGAGGAUCCAAGUAGGUCUCACACACACCAAGGGCGUGCUCUAUCCCUAGGUUGCUAGACCGCAUGAGAACCUAUGCCACCUGUCCUAGGCGGGCCCUUCGUCAUAAGUCCUCUUCUCACGUACAACUUUAUUCUAAAUUUUCUCAGUUUUUUCCUAUUUACAAUAUAUACCUAUUGGUCAUGAAAGCACAAAUUAUUCAAAUAUUUACUCAUCUUCGAAGACUUUAUUAAUAUGUUAGUACAAAUCAAUAAUAAAAAUAAACAAAUUUAAUAAGAACGUGACAUGAAAACUACAAAAUGUAUAGAAAUUUUAACAUGUAAUAUACAUCCGCAACAUAUCUAUAACUUUUGAAGUUUUCCUGCUUAUUUCUCAUCAAUAUUUAAUAUUUCAUUGGAUUGACCUAAUUAAAAGCGCUUUGGAUAAAAGUGACAUUCAUUCAAUCAACAUUGAGCUGAUACAUCCACACAAAUUUAAUAGCUAGAGGCAUAAUUGAAUGUUGUAUGUUUGUGGACAAAUUUAUCUUUUCGUACUAUAUAAAACCUUCCUGAACUCAAAAAUAUCCAAGCAAAUGAGCAUUCAUAACUUUUUAGAGUACAUUUUAUUUUCAUCUUACUGCAAUACUCUCUCUGUUUGAUAAUAUAGUGCAUAAUUCUUACAUAAACAAUGCAAAAUGUACAAUAUAGAAUUAUAUAUCUUAUAAUGUAUCUGAUGAUAUUUAUUCGAUAUUGUAUAUGUAGAUACCUAUCGCUAUAAACUUGGCAAAAGUUUAUGAAGUUUGACCUCUGAAAAAAUAUAGCACUAUUUCUUUUUGAAGUAGUAGAGUAUAAUACUGUGUGUGAAAAUGUCUCUAAUCGUCAUUUCUCCUCCUGUAUAAAAAUUUGUAUUGCGGUUCUAUUUUAACAACAGUUCAUAGAGGGGCAAAACGGUAAAGUUGUAAAUUUAGUAAAUCAGAAAGCUUGGGAGUUUUGAGUUCCUUUGUGUUGGUGUUAACUAAGACCUUGAAUUUGUCACAGAAGCCAAAAAUAAUUGGUGCUAAAAGUCAAAAUGCAUCACUGUCAAAAGAGAGAGAGAGAGAGAAAACAGAGCGUCACGAUGAUAUAAUUGGUCGGCUUGAGAAGGGGUAAUACCAUAUCUAAUGGCUACCCCAAAAAACUACCCUAAUAACCACUUAUUGGGGUGGCCAAGAAAAAUUCCCUGAUAACCACUUCUUGGUGCUCCCCAACAAGGCUCAUGAAAAUGAUCUUGCAUUCUUGCUCUAUCUUCUUCGAAUUCACUUGUGCGCAAUGACUCUCAACUUAUCUUCUUCAAUUGUCGCAUCAAACCACCUUGACUUCUUCUCUUGUUUUUUGCCAUCUCCAACUAUUUUGUGUUCAUUUUAUCUCUUCGACUAUUAUCUUGGACACAAUGGCAUCUUGUUGAUUUUUUUUCUUAUCUUUCUCACCUCUUCGACCUGAUGGCAUGCUGACUUUGGCAGUCGCCAUCGAGCUGGGAGUACAGUUUGGGACUUCAUUAGCGUCAUCACCGUCAUCAUCAUUAUAGUCAAAUUUUGGAGUUUAUGAUGGUUUAGCCUUCUUAUGAGGUUGUAAUCUUUCAUUAUUCCCAUCUUUCCCCUUCUCAUAUUUUUGGAGCAACACCUGACAAUGGAUCAUGUAAAAUCACGCUCCUUUUGGAUGUCUAUGUUUGUAAAACUCAUUCAUGUAGUUGAGAUGUCAAGUUAAACAAAUCACUAGGAAGUUGGAUUCAAACAUUUCAUAGGAAAAUUUUCACAAAGGAACACAGUAAGAACAAAAGUACUCACCGGCAUAUCAUCUGCCAUUGCACAAGGCUUGGCACGCUCCACUUGGGACACACAACCUUCCCACCAAUUGGGACAUACCAAAGGUGUGCACCAUAUGUGAUUAAGUGAAUUUACUAACUAGUCGGAGGAAACCGGCACAUUGCGAUAAAGUGCUCUACAAUGCACUUCCAAUAUGUCUUCAACGUUUUGAUCGUAAUCAAUGCUCACUCUCCCAUGAUACUACCUCAUUUCCGGUUUGCAAGGCUUGCGUGUAUCUCUAGGUUGACAAAUAGACCAUCAUAAUACAAGUUAUAUAUCAUAAAAAAUAUGUCAUUGGAAAUUUCAAACCGUCUACUUUCUAAUGGUAUAACUUUUAGACUAUACAACUCAUCUUAUCUUGGUCAAAUUAUAAAUCUAGAGAUAGGUGCAAGCCUUAUAAUCUGGAAAGGAGGUAGUAUGACAAAUGCAAUAUCCUCGUGCGUGGAAUAGUUUCUUGACCUUGCCCAUUUCUUUAGUUUUGUAGGGGCAACCUGAAUGACUACUCAUCAACCUAAUUAGGCGGAUUAGACAAAGAAAUAUCAUCUAUGCCUACCGAUUUGUUUAUCAAGUUGAGAUAUGAUUGUUGGGUACACAUUCAAAAAUAUAAAACUAAUGAGCAUUGCCAUGUAAAAGUUUGCAUCGAAUUUUAUUCAUAUAGCCGCAACAAAAAAGAUAAACGAGGAAAUAUGCUUCCUUGCAUUUUGUCGAACAACUCAUUUCUGUUGUCCAUGUCGAAGUCGCUGGUGGCCUUAGACAAGGUGGGGAAGACCAGUGGUGUCGCCAUGAAGAAAGCCAACAGUGUCACCAUGAAGGAGCCGGUUGCGGCUGCCAUCGCCUUCUUCGUCAAUGUUGUGCGGCACCUCCCUCCCCUUCCACAACGCCGAUGGCGCAAUGCACGUGCCGGGCGACGCACCUAGGAUGGAGCGGUGUCGCCAGUUGAGGGCAAAGGAGACGGUAAGGUGCAGGGGUGGGGCCGCAUGCGGGACAGAGGGGAUCAUCCCACUAAUGGAAAACGGGCCUUUGGCCGGGACCAUUUAGUCUCGGCCUGCCUCUGGGCCGGGACUAAAAGCCCGGCCACGUCGCCCCAAUUCUCAAUGCCUCCCUCGAGGCUUUAGUCCCGACCCGUAAGGAGCCUUUAGUCCCGGUUCGUGUCCCAAACCGGGACUAAAGGGCUACGCGGUGGGCAGUGGUGGCACAACCGUUCGUAUCCCCCUUUAGUCCCGGUUGGUGGCUCAACCCGGGACUAAAGGACUAACACGUGGCCUGCCGUAGUGGUGGCGACCGUUGGUAUACCUCUUUAGUCCCGGUUGGUGGCUCAACCCGGGACUAAAGACCCAAACGGUUUGCAUCCCGCGUCGUUUUGGGCGAUGAAAAGCACGAACCGAAGCGUACAGUCGCCAUUUCUCUGUUUCUUCUUCUCUCUCGCUCUCCCUCUCUGUUCUUCUCCUCUCUUCUUCCCUUCUCUUCUUCCACCAUGCCAACUAGCUUUCGUAAGGUGCUCGCACAUGGCACGACCAUGCUCGAUGUCGUGUACACGAACCUGAGCAGGGAGGUGCCAUUUUUUCUUCAACAGUUGAAGGAAAAAUGGUUUGACAACGCAGUGGAUCAUGAGAAGUUCUUGGGGCUUGAUCUGGAGUACAUGGCCGAUCAACGCGGUGUUGCCGUCAUCCAACUAUGCUUCGCACGCCAUGUCUUGAUCUUCCAAUGGGCGAGGUAAGUUUUGAGGCUUUCUUUGAUCCAAGAUAAUGACAUUGUAAGUUUAUUUGUUUCAACCAUAGUCGGUUCCCUUCAAAUAGUUGUAGUGAAACAAUUUUGAUUAGUUGAAGGGGAGCACAAUCUAAUUGGAAUAGUGUUCCAUAAUCUGAAAAGUCGCAUUAGAAUCAACUAGUGUUUAAUAUGUUCCAUUGGAAUCAUAGUUGGUUCCCUUCAAAUAGUUGUAGUGAAACAAUUUUGAUUAGUUGAAGGGGAGCACAAUCUAAUUGGAAUAGUGUUCCAUAAUCUGAAAAAUCGUAUUAGAAUCAACUAGUGUUUAAUAUGUUCCAUUGGAAUCAUAGUUGGUUCCCUUCAAAUAGUUGUAGUGAAACAAUUUUGAUUAGUUGAAGGGGAACACAAUCUGAUUGGAAUAGUGUUCCAUAAUCUGAAAAAUCGUAUUAGAAUCAACUAGUGUUUAAUAUGUUUCAUUGGAAUCAUAGUUGGUUCGCUUCAAAUAGUUGUAGUGAAACAAUUUUGAUUAGUUGAAGGGAACACAAUCUGAUUGGAAUAGUGUUCCACAAUCGGAAAAAUCUGAUUGGUUCAAUAUGUUCCAUUGAAAUCAUAGUUGUAGUGAUACAAUUUUAUGCGGUGUCCUUUGAUCCAAGGUUAUGAAAAUUGAAUAUAGCUAGUGAUCUCUCUAGGUUCCAUUGGAUAGCAAUAUGAUAUGUCAUAGUCAUGAAAAUUGCAUAUAGCUAGUGAUCUCUCUAGGUUCCAUUGGAUAGCUAUAGUGAUCUCUCUAGGUUCCAUUGCAUAUGUUCUAUUUGAAUCCUAAAGAUAAUUUUCUCUUUAGUUGUAGUGAAACAUGUUUCCUUAUUGCAGCAGUAUGUAACAUUUGUUCCAUUUUAAUUUGUUUCUGUUGCAGGAGUGACAAGCAUUGUCCAGAACUCAUGGACUUCCUUCGCAGCGGCAUCACUUUUGCUUCCGUUGACAUAAGGAACGACAAGCUGAAGAUGAGGCACAGCUUCGGUAUUGAGAUACCAGCUGGUUGCCUCGUUGAUCUCCAAACGAUAUUCGGGCUUCGACAUGACAGGACUUCGAUGGCUCAUAUGGCAGUUGCCUUGAUCGACGAUUCAUAUGCUGAUAUGAAGACCAGUUUCCCAAAGUCUCAGCACAAACUUUGGGAGAAGGGCCCACUUGAUGAUAUCAACAUUGAGUAUGCAGCAAAAGAUGCAUACGUUUCAUACGAGUUGUACCGCAAGAUCGUGCUGAGUGUCCCACGGGAGUAGUACGGUCGCUCCGAAGAAAUCCAUAUCGACUUUGAUGAACUCUUCCAGAUGUACAAUGGCGACGCCCUCGACAAAUCGCUUAUGAGUUGCUAUUGUCUGUAAGUUUUUCAAUUCGUUGUCUACAUAUAACUUGUUUAGUUAUUUCAAUCCAUUGUCUAUAUAUAACUUGUACUCUGUUAUGCAGAAUGAAGAUUCUGGAUUGUAAAAGUAAGAUCAUCCUAAAUAUUGGGUUUAUUGACCCAGAUAAAAUACAUAUAGCGUCGCUAACUGACAAACCCAAGGAGACGGAGGAAAACCUUCUAAGGUUUCUAAUAGAUCAAAAUUUCUGUGACCACAUACUGUUUCCAUACAACUUCAGGUGAGGGUCUUUACUCUGUUGUGUCCAUUCACUUAUAAGUGUAAUUGAUAAGUUACUGAUAUAUAUAUAUAUAURUAUAUAUAUAUAUAUAUAUAUAUAUAUAUAUAUAUAUAUAUAUAUAUAUAUAUAUAUACAUACAUACAUACAUAUGCAGCUUCCAUUGGAUUCUGUUGGACAUUCAAAUUGAUAAGGGAAGAGUUGAUGCCUUCGAUCCAUUAUCUAGACCCUUGGAACAGUUCCAAAGCCUGCAGGACAUGCUCAUUCGAUGAUUUUCUGAUAUAUCAAUUAAUGAAAACUUAGCAAAUCAUUAUCCUUGUCGGGCAGGGUUUGAAAGCGGUUCAAGUGCGUGACUCCGGGUAACUUUCCUGAGAAGCUGACCUUUAGCCACGGGUAAUUAUGAUAUACUUCUAUUAAUUUUCAAUACAUUUAUGAUGCUAGAUUAUUAUUUUGAUUAUAUAUAUUCUAUUCUCGUAAAGUGCGACCAGCAGCCACGGGGAACGCAUCUAUGCGGAUACUAUGUUUGCGAGACCAUUCGCACGUUUACCUCUGAGUUCAAGGAUCACAGAUUCAACGUAAGCAAUGAACAUUCACACCUCUAUUUUUACCCGUCAUUCUUUGUUAUCAUGAUUGAUAUUCAUAUUCAUCUCCUCUUCUUAUAUAGCACACGGCCAUGAGGACGAAGGUCCUACCAGAGCAACGCGCAAUUGCUGUUGCAGAGGAGCUUGCGGGAUUUCUGAGGACCGAAGCUAUAGAAGACAAAGGACGAUUUAGUGUAGCUAAGGGCCAUUACUGAUGUUCGUCCAUGUAAUCGAAUAGACGGGUAACUUUCCUGAGAAGCUGACCUUUAGCCACGGGUAAUUAUGAUAUACUUCUAUUAAUUUUCAAUACAUUUAUGAUGCUAGAUUAUUAUUUUGAUUAUAUAUAUUCUAUUCUCGUAAAGUGCGACCAGCAGCCACGGGGAACGCAUCUAUGCGGAUACUAUGUUUGCGAGACCAUUCGCACGUUUACCUCUGAGUUCAAGGAUCACAGAUUCGACGUAAGCAAUGAACAUUCACACCUCUAUUUUUACCCGUCAUUCUUUGUUAUCAUGAUUGAUAUUCAUAUUCAUCUCCUCUUCUUAUAUAGCACACGGCCAUGAGGACGAAGGUCCUACCAGAGCAACGCGCGAUUGCUGUUGCAGAGGAGCUUGCGGGAUUUCUGAGGACCGAAGCUAUAGAAGACAAAGGACGAUUUAGUGUAGCUAAGGGCCAUUACUGAUGUUCGUCCAUGUAAUCGAAUAGACGGGCUCUAGUCCCGAUAAUUCAGAUCUCCAUAUAAUUGUAUAUAUAUGAUCGCUUGUAAGAUAAGUUAAUCUUAUAUAUAUAUAUAUAUGCAUAAUUAUUUCUAUUUAAAUUAUAUGAAAACUAAUUCCCGAACACCAAACGAGGCAUCACGUUAAUCUCCCGAACACCUAAACCCUAAAAUCCUAAAAACCAAAAAUAAUUUCAUUCAAAAAAAAACCCAAAAACCAGCAAAAUCUGAAAAUCUUUAGUCCCGGUCCGUGUAACGAACCGGGACUAAAGGGCCUGCCCCUGGGACGCUACGAGGCGCCCACGUGGAGCACCUUUAGUCCCGGCUUGUAAGAGGGCCGGGACGAAAGGUUAGGCCUUUAGUCCCGCCCCUUUAGUCCCGGUUGAUGAACUGGGACUAAAGCCCCUUACGGCCCGGGGCUAAAGGCCUCGUCUCCACUAGUGUCCCUCCACCAAUGACUAUGCAGUGGUGGGGCCCGAUGCCUCCAUCAAUGGCGGCGGGCGGAUUUCGGGUGCGUGAAAUGGGAGGCCGCAUAAAAUGGGGGGAUGGGGCAAAACGAGCAGGUGCUGACGUUGCAUGUACUGAGGAGGGUAUUGGGAGAGAGCCAACUCCUCCUCCAUACAGGGGGAGUUGGGUUUUUUGUUUUUGUGAUCACCCAAAAUGUUGAAAAAAUGGGAUUUGUCGGGCAUUGUUUUUUAGUCCAACUCCUUCAAUACCAGAAGAUUAUUAGGAAAAAAAAGCUGCCGGAGAUGCUUAAAAAAGAUCAUCGAAUGUGAAAUAAUUGCCCGGACAAAAAAAAGUGAAAUAGUUGUCCCAAAUUAAUACCAUGAGAAGAGUGUGACUUGUUCCAACAACCAACAAGACGGUAAACACACCAUAUUUUUUUAAAGACAGUCACACACCACCAAUUGCUAUCGACAACAACGCAUCCAAGUACGCACGCUUUUGAGAAGCUCUUGUGGUGGAGUGGUGGACAACACAAAUGUUGCUCAUCUUCUAUAAGAAUAAGAUAAGGGGAGUUUUCUCUCUGUUUUCAUUUUUUUAAGUACACACGUUUACAGAGUACAGCUAGACAGAAUUACGUCCUCAUUUAUUGGUACAAACGUAAGGAUGAGCCCGUCUAAGCUAGCCAAUCCUAGGAGCUUUGGUGACCUUGUCGCUGGAGUCGACGAACACCCUGACUCGGCCGGUGUUGUAAUCCAUGGUGACGAAGGAGUCGGCCGGAACGACGUGGACGCUGGCGUCCGGCUUGUUCUCUACGAUCUUCUUCUUGGCCUCCUCCGACGACAGGCCCACCACCUCCGGCCACGAGUUCUUCUCGGCGCCGACGCCGGCCGUCACUCCCCCGGACUCCAUCGCCUAUUUGCAACACAAGCGCUCAAGACUUACGAACGGUUAGAGUGACAAAGAACGAUCGGAGUGGCAAGAGAGGAAGCUGAGAUUGCUAACCUGUUGGCUUGACCAGUGAGUGUACGUAGUGGUAAGGUGGAUGCCGAUGGUGCGUGUGUGGUUGUGCCUUCUGUGUUUGGUAUUUGUAGGCCUGUGGCAGCUGCGUGGGAAAAGAGGAUGAGGACAGGUUUUGUUUUCUUAGUUUUGGGUAGCUCCGAUGGGGUGUUGGAGGCAAGGGUCUCGACAGUCAACAGAUGGCAGCUCGAUGCAGUUUGUCUUCGAAAAUUCAGUGCAACACAAGAAGACUGAAUUAAUUAAGCUACCGUUUGGCCGGCAGGCCGGCCAGCCAUUGAAGAGUGUUAGAGCAUCUAUAACUGGACCCAUAUCCGUUUCAAACGUGUUUGUAUUUUUUCGAUCACUGCAUGAAUGCAAAAUUACAACCCAAUCAAAGUAAAUUCAACCUAGCCGUCCGGACUGAUUGGCACCUGACUACACAUAUCCAGAUCACAUAUGAGACGAGAUAGGGACGUCCAAACGCGUCCGUCACAUAGGACGGACCACAAGGGCCCGUGCUAAACCGCAUAUCUCCGUACCCUCCUUUUUGCUCGAUGUCGGUGUCAAAACCGGUAGAUCUCGGAUAAGGGGUGUCGAACUGUGAACCUUGAAUCGAUGGGUUGUAGGAAGAAGGGGGAGACAAUGGUUUAUCCAGGUUUGGGCCCUUCUAUGAAGGUAAUACCCUACGUCCUGCUUGAUUAUAUUGAUGAAGAUGAUUACAAAGUAGAUCUACCUCGAGAUCGUAUAUGCUAAACCCUAGAAGAUUUAGCCUCUUCUACACGGAUAGGCACCCUGGUUUAUAUAGACACCAGGGUCCCUAGGGUUUACAAGUUACCGACUAUGAUCGGGAAUAGAUGAGCCAACCUUUCUUACUAAGCUUGAAGCACACGCCAAUCUUCGGGAUAUUCCUUCCAGAGUAGAGGUCGUCAUCAGGCCCGGUCUUCUUCAGCACGGCCCAAUGGGCCCACCCAGUAUUGACUAACGGGACGCCCGAGGACCCUAGAAUCCCGGACUCCCUCAGUAGCCCCUGAACUAAGCCUCAACGUCGGUGUGUUUAGUCUUUGGCUGCCCCUAAGUGGGCUGGUGCGCCUCCACAACCAUCCCAAGGCGCAACAAGGGGUGGAAGGGGCAAACCCUAGGCGUGGGAGGCCACCUUGGGCCUCAAGGCCCAACCCUAGGGCGCCUCCACCACCUUGGCGGCCGCCCCUAAGCCAUCUAGGGCUGCCGCACCCUUAGGAUGGGAAACCCUAAGGGUGGAUGAUGACCCACAAGUAUAGGAGAUCAAUUGUAGUCCUUUCAAUAAGUGAGAGUGUCGAACCCAACGAGGAGCAGAAGGAUCUGACAAGUGGUUUUCAGCAAGGUAAAAUCUGCAGGCACUGAAAUUGUCGGUAACAAGUGAUUGUGUGGUGAGAUGAUUCGUAGCAAGCAAUAAGUAACAAAAGUAGCAACGGUGCAGCAAAGUGGCCCAAUCCCUUUUGUAGCAAGGGACAAGCCUGGACAAAGUCUUAUAGGAGGAAAAACGCUCCCGAGGACACAUGGGAAUUUCUGUCAUGCUAGUCUUCAUCAUGUUCAUAUGAUUCACGUUCGUUACUUUGAUAGUUUGAUAUGUGGGUGGACCGGCGCUUGGGUACUGCCCUUACUUGGACAAGCAUCCCACUUAUGAUUAACCCCUCUCGCAAGCAUCCGCAACUACGAAAGAAGAAUUAAGACAAAGUCUAACCAUAAUAUUAAACAAGUGGAUCCAAAUCAGCCCCUUACGAAGCAAUGCAUAAACUAGGGUUUAAGCUUCUGUCACUCUAGCAACCCAUCAUCUACUUACUACUUCCCAAUGCCUUCCUCUAUGCCCAAAUAAUGGUGAAGUGUUAUGUAGUCGACGUUCACAUAACACCACUAGAGGAAAAACAACAUACAACAUAUCAAAAUACCGAACGAAUACCAAAUUCACAUGACUACUAUUAGCAUGACUUAUCCCAUGUCCUCAGGAACCAAAGUAACUACUCACAAAGCAUAAUCAUAUUCAUGACCAGAGAGGUCAUGAGUAGCAUCAAGGAUCUGAACAUAAACUCUUCCACCAAGUAAUCCAACUAGCAUCAACUACAAAGAGUAAUCAACACUACUAGCAACCUUACAAGUACCAAUCGGAGUCGCGAGACGGAGAUUGGUUACAAGUGAUGAACUAGGGUUGGAGAUGAGAUGGUGCUGAUGAAUAUGUUGAUGGUGAUGAGUCCCCUCUGAUGAGAGGAGUGUUGGUGAUGACGAUGGCGACAAUUUCCCCCUCCGGGAGGGAAGUUUCCCCGGCAGGAUCGUCCUGCCGGAGCUCUAGAUUGGUUCUGCUCAAGUUCCGCCUCGUGGCGGCGGCGAAACCACGAAAAAGCUCCUGCUCGAUUUUUUUCGAGACGAAACCCUUCAUAUAGCAGAAGAGGGGGGCAAGUGGGCCAGCAGGUUGCCCACAAGCCCUCAUGGCGCGGCCGUGGGGGGGGGGGGUGGCCGCGCUGUGCACGCUUGUGGCCAACCCCUGGCGCUUCUUCGGCCCAGUAUUUUUAAUAAAUCCGGAAAAAAUUCUCGUUGAUUUUUACGGCGUUUGAAGUUGCGCAUAAUAGGUAUCUCAAACUUGCUCCACUUUCAGGCCAGAAUUCCAGCUGCUCGCAUUCUCCCUCUUCAUGUAAACCUUGCAAAAUAAGAGAGAAAAGGCAUAAGAAUUGUACCGUGAAGUGAAAUAACAGCCCAAGAAGCGAUAAAUAUCAACACGAAAACAUGAUGCAAAAUGGACGUAUCAACUCCCCCAAGCUUAGACCUCGCUUGUCCUCAAGCGAAAGCCUAGCUCAAUAAACAUGUCCACAUGUUUAGGGAGAGAGGUGUCGACAAAACAAGAUACAAACAUGCAUGCAUCACGAUCAUGAUCAGAACAACAAUACCAACAUAUAAUCUCUCAUGCUAAAGUGAUAAUUCCUUCACAAAGUAAAGCAUGGAUCAAGAACCUUACCGAGAAGUAACAACCGAUAGCCUUUAGUCAUGGAAGCAAUUGCAAUUUAUCACAACAUCAAAAAGAGUCAAAUAAGAGCUUGUAAAGCAAAUCCACAUACUCAAUCAUUCUUUCGUUCUCUACAGUUGCUACAACUCACGUGGUACUCAUGAGAUCAAAGUUUCAGCUGGACACAGAGAAAGAUAGGGGCUUACAGUUUUUCCUCCCAACUGCUUACCUCAAGGGUAAUGUCAACAAUAAUAAUUCAUGAAUACUUACCUCCAAGUUUACAUAUGAAUAUAGAUCUUUCCCAAGCAUAUGACGUUAGCCAAGAUAAACGCGAGAUAAGGAAUUGGUGAAGAUCACCAUGACUCUUUCAAGGGAAAAAAGUAAAGGUACAAGAUAGCCCUUUCGCAGAGGGAAGCAGAGGUUGUCAUGUGCUUUUGAGGUUUGGAUGCGUGUCCUCUUAGUGCGGAGGAACGUCACUUUAUAUUGCCUCCUGUGAUAAAGAACUUUAUUAUGCAGUCUGUCGCUUUUAUGUCUUCCUCAUCACAGGUUCGUACAAAGCUUAUUUUCCACACACUAAUAGAUCAUACAUAUUAGAGAGCAAUUUUUAUUGCUUGCACCGAUGACAACUUAAUUGAGGGAUCUUAUUCAAUCCAUAGGUAGGUAUGGUGGACUCACAUGGCAAAACUGGGUUGAAGAUUUGUGGAUGCACAAGUAAUAUCUCUACUUGGUGCGAGAGUUUUGGCUAAUGUGAGGUGGAAGCAAUCGUCACAUGCUAAGGGAUCUCUAAUCAUAUAACAUUGUUCCGAGCCAAGCAAACACAAUGCAUUAUGUUGUCUUCCUUGUCCAACAUCUACUUCCAGGCAUGUAAUAGUUUAGUGAGUGUUCACAAUCAUAGAUGGUGUCAGAGAUGAUAUAUUUAUAUGUGAACCUCUCCUUCUUUAUCACUUCCUAUUAAUUGCAACAAUGACCAAGGUCUACGUUUGCCUACCCUCAACAAGUUUCAAUCCUCAUUCUUUUUAUAUGUGAAGCCAUCACUUCCCAUAAGAUCAUUACAUGAUCUUUCAUGCUUUUGUUCUAUUCUCACUCUUUUGAUCAUGGCAAGAGGCAAAGCCCUUCAACUAAGACACUCUUUAUUAUAUGGCUCAUGAGCUCGAAUACAUCGGGGGUGAGACAAAGCAAAACUCAAGACUAAAACACUAAGACUUUUAAUCUACUAGAGAAAGAGAAAACUGAAAAGGAAAACUAAAACAAAGGUAAAGGCAAAAGAUGUGAUGAUGAUACGAUACCGGGGCAAGUCCCCCAAGCUUGGCACAAGCCAAGGGGAUUGCCCAUACCAAUGCUCAGUUGUCUUCCUUCGGUGGUGAUGGUGGUGGAGUUGUUGAAGAGGUCUUGAGCUUGUUUAAUUUCCACUUGAGCAUAAAAUUCUGCUCCCUCAGAUCAUCAUUUUCCUCUUCAAGCUUCAACACCCUUUGGCAUAAAUUCUUGCUUACUCUCCUGCAAGAAACGAGAAGGGAUAAACAAGGUCUUAGGCUUCUUCCUUGAGUCGGGGAGGCUCGACUUCUUGAACUCCACACGCGUGUGUCCAGGUUGAGGUAGAGGAGCCUCCUCUUCAUUGGAACUUGUUUGUUCCUCCCCCUUGGGAUCAUAAUCUUCAUCCUCAUCAGUGGUCCAGCCAUAAGGAUCCACGUCCCCAUAGACCUUGGGGUCAGCAAGGUAAUCUGCCACAUAACUAUCCCCCUCUGAAUCCUGAGAAGACAUCUUCCCUGAAUCUGCGGCAGAAAACAUGCUCGAAACGAAAAACAGAAGAAAUCUGUGUGAUGCAAGGGUCAGACCAAACGGAAGUAUAUAUAAUGAUUUUUUCCAGACUAGAAGGAGUACCCUGCACGAAAACGGAGUCCGGGAGGCGCACGAGGUGGCCACAAGCCCUCACGGCGCGGCCAGGGGGUGGGCCCGCGCCGUGCAGGCUUGUCGCCUCCUCGCGCACUUUCCGUACUACUUCCAUUUUUUGUAUUUUUCAAAUAUUCCAAAACGGAGAAAAUUUCCUACUAGAAAAGUUUUGGACUAUGUUUUCUUACCGAAUCACAUACCUCUUCGUUUUCGGAGUCUGAAACAGGCUGAUAAAUAUCCCUAAGGUAUUCUUCCGGAGUUAUGGUAUUGAUAAUAUUGCUCUCAACAUUUAUGGGAGUACCUGAGAUAUAAUGCUUGAUUCUCUGCCCAUUUACUGUUGGGGAACGUCGCAUGGGAAACAAAAAUUUUCCUACGCGCACGAAGACCUAUCAUGGUGAUGUCCAUCUACGAGAGGGGAUGAGUGAUCUACGUACCCUUGUAGAUCGUACAGCAGAAGCGUUAGAGAACGCGGUUGAUGUAGUGGAACGUCCUCACGUCCCUCGAUCCGCCCCGCGAACAAUCCCGCGAUCAGUCCCACGAUCUAGUACCGAACGGACGACACCUCCGCGUUCAGCACACGUGCAGCUCGACGAUGAUCUCGGCCUUCUUGAUCCAGCAAGAGAGACGGAGAGGUAGAAGAGUUCUCCGGCAGCGUGACGGCGCUCCGGAGGUUGGUGAUGAUCUUGUCUCAGCAGGGCUCCGCCCGAGCUCCGCAGAAACACGAUCUAGAGGAAAAACUAUGGAGGUAUGUGGUCGGGCAGCCGUGAGAAAGUCGUCUCAAAUCUGACCCUAAAAGCCSCAUAUAUAUAGGAGGAGGGAGGGGGACCUUGCCUUGGGGUCCAAGGGAUCCCCAAGGGGUCGGCCGAGCCAGGGGGAGGACUCUCCCCCCCCCCCAAACCGAGUCCUACUUGGUUUGGUGGGAGGGAGUCCUUCCCCCUUCCCACCUCUCCCCCUUUUUUUUUCUUUCCUUUGCUUUUCUAUCUUGGCGCAUAGGGGAUUGGUGGGCUGUCCCACCAGCCCACUAAGGGCUGGUGUGACCCCCCAAAUACCUAUGGGCUUCCCCGGAGUGGGUUGCCCCCCUCCGGUGAACUCCCGGAACCCAUUCGUCAUUCCCGGUACAUUCCCGGUAACUCCGAAAACCUUCCGGUAAUCAAAUGAGGUCAUCCUAUAUAUCAAUCUUCGUUUCCGGACCAUUCCGGAAACCCUCGUGACGUCGGUGAUCUCAUCCGGGACUCCGAACAACAUUCGGUAACCAACCAUAUAACUCAAAUACGCAUAAAACAACGUCGAACCUUAAGUGUGCAGACCCUGCGGGUUCGAGAACUAUGUAGACAUGACCCGAGAGACUCCUCGGUCAAUAUCCAAUAGCGGGACCUGGAUGCCCAUAUUGGAUCCUACAUAUUCUACGAAGAUCUUAUCGUUUGAACCUCAGUGCCAAGGAUUCGUAUAAUCCCGUAUGUCAUUCCCUUUGUCCUUCGGUAUGUUACUUGCCCGAGAUUCGAUCGUCAGUAUCCGCAUACCUAUUUCAAUCUCGAUUACCGGCAAGUCUCUUUCUUCGUUNNNNNNNNNNNNNNNNNNNNNNNNNNNNNNNNNNNNNNNNNNNNNNNNNNNNNNNNNNNNNNNNNNNNNNNNNNNNNNNNNNNNNNNNNNNNNNNNNNNNUUUUCAAAAUCAAAAAAAUAUUCUAAUUUUAUUGUAAAAAGAAAAAAAAUGGGAACAACUUUUAAAACGGGAACACGGGUUGAACAUUUUUUCCAAUUUACAAACCAUUUAUAUUAAUUUUGAUAUUUUUUUAUUUUUUCAUAUCAAUUAAUAAGUAUCAAAUAAAAAUUUAAACCUGAACAAAACAUAAAAAUUCUGAAUCUUAGGAACAUUGAUUAGAAAAUCUAAAAAAGGAAAUUGUGCACAUUUUUUUUUUGCAAAUAUAAAAAGAUCGUAAAGAAUGAAAAAAAAAUUAAAAAAUGAAUUUGAAAUUUUGAAAUAUUUGAACUUUUCAAAAAAAGGAAACAAUAAACAGAAAUAUGGAAAAGUCAAACAUAAUUAAAAGCGAAGGAAAGGAAACGUAAAGAAGGAAACAGGAGAGAAGAUAAAGGGAAAAAAGAAAAGAAAAAGACAAAAGUGUGGUUCCCAAAACUGGAAAAAAUGGCUGGGAGGCCAAGGUACCCUUAACUGGAACCUUUUUUUUUACUACUUGUUUCUUUAUUAACUAAAGCCAAGCGAAAGCCUCAUAUGAGUUAUCUUACUGGAGAGGUCCCAAUUAUUACAGCACUAAGCUCAUACGCUUUAAAAGUAGGGAGUUUUUUAAGAAAUGAAUGUGGAACUUUAUCGAUGAACUUCUAUCAAAUCCAGGAGUGUUUUAAGAAAUGAAUGUGGAACUUUAUUGAUGAACUUUUAUCAAAUCCAGGAACACUUGGACCAGCCAAACAAGCGCCCGACAGGUGUGAUGCCAUCGCCUAGUUUGACCAAGGCCUAAGCAUUAUUUUUUCUAUUUUUCUCAUUGUUCUUCUUCUUUUGUUCAAUUCAUUUUUCUCCCUUUUGAACUUUGUUGUUCUUUUUGAAACCUGUUGAAAUUUUUGGAAUACCAAAAUAACAGUUUUAGUUAACUGUUUUAAAUUAUGGUUUCCUUCAAAUAUUUAUCAUAUGCUCUUUAAAAAAAACUUAAUUGUAAUUUUAUCCCUUUUGUAUUAGUUAGUAAUGUUAAAAACUGAAAAUAACAUUUUAAGUACAUGUUUAAAUUAUGAUUUUAAAUAUAUAUUUUCCUUCUAACCUGACAUGGAUGUCUGUCAUAGGCAUGUCCACAUGUUGGUAAAAGUAGGGAUCAUUGCAAGGAUGUCAAGAAAUAGACCAUCUUCAACGUAGGGUGUCCGAGUAGGAUAGAAGGCUCCGACCGGGAGCACUACGUUUUUGACAUCCUUGAAAUUGCUCCUAGUUUUUUUUUCAUGGUCUUAAUUAACCAAUUCCAAGCACCAUGCCUAGUUGUUUGUUGUUUUUGUAUUUUUUUUUUUGUCAUUUCCUCGAAUUUUCUCUGUUAAAAAUGUUGAUAAAUGAUUGGACAUUUCGCAACUAGCAUACAAUGUCAAAAGUCGUCCAGACCAGGAAUGGAUACCUAACAUGGCCAUGGCGACCUGGUUGUAAAAGUUGGGGUCAUUUUAAGGAUGUCUAAAAACAGACCAUGCACAACAAAGUGUGUUUGGGUAGGGCAAGAAAGGUCCACAUUUGAAAGCACGUUGUUUUUCAACAUCCGUCAAACUGCCCCAAAAAAAUUAAACCAACUUCUAUGACUAAUUCAAGGCAUUUCCCCAUGUUUUCUGAAUUUUCAACUAAUUAUGCAUUUUCUGGAGUUUUCAUGAUUGAAAUGACCAAUAAAUGGUCGUACAUGUUGCAACGUGCAAAUGGUGUGUGAACUCGUUAGAACUUGACAUCAGUGCAUCAUAUGCGUGCCAGGCAUAUGCAAGAUGUUGGAGUCAUUUAUCCAUAGUCCAAAAAAUGAUGAGUUGAGAGAAGUGUGGCACACUAGGUCCCACGAAUGCAUCCAUGAGCAUGUAGUUCUUCCCAAUUUGAAUGCUUCUGUCAUUUGCAAUUUCCUUCAUUAUCAGUCAACAUGAACUAUUUUUUAUGACCUUAAAAAAUCUUGUAAAAUUUUUCACCWACUAAAAUUUUUAAAAAUUKAGCUAAAAUUUGUUUUCUAGUAAUUUUUUAACAAAAACAUUUAAAACUUUUUUUNNNNNNNNNNNNNNNNNNNNNNNNNNNNNNNNNNNNNNNNNNNNNNNNNNNNNNNNNNNNNNNNNNNNNNNNNNNNNNNNNNNNNNNNNNNNNNNNNNNNAGAGCAUAAAAGGUUACUUGAAUAAAAGUUUCUCUAUGAAGGACCUAGGAGAAGCUGCUUACAUUCUAGGCAUUAAGAUCUAUAGGGAUAGAUCAAAACGCCUGAUAGGACUUUCACAAAGCACGUACCUUGAUAAAGUUUUGAAGAGGUUCAAAAUGGAACAGUCCAAGAAAGGGUUCUUACCAGUGUUACAAGGUACGAGAUUGAGUAAGACUCAGUGCCCAGCAACUGAUGAAGAUAGAGAGCAUAUGCGCUCCGUCCCCUAUGCUUCAGCCAUAGGUUCUAUCAUGUAUGCGAUGCUGUGCACUAGACCGGAUGUUAGCCUGGCCAUAAGUAUGGCAGGUAGGUUCCAGAGUAAUCCAGGAGUGGAUCACUGGACGGCGGUCAAGAAUAUCCUGAAGUACCUGAAAAGGACUAAGGAGAUGUUUCUCGUGUAUGGAGGUGACGAAGAGCUCGCCGUAAAAGGUUACGUCGAUGCAAGCUUUGACACAGAUCCGGACGACUCUAAGUCGCAAACCGGAUACGUAUUUAUUCUUAAUGGGGGUGCAGUAAGCUGGUGCAGUUCCAAGCAAAGCGUCGUAGCAGAUUCUACAUGUGAAGCGGAGUACAUGGCUGCCUCGGAGGCGGCUAAGGAGGGUGUCUGGAUGAAGCAGUUCAUGACGGAUCUUGGAGUGGUGCCAAGCGCACUGAAUCCAAUAACCUUGUUCUGUGACAACACUGGUGCCAUUGCCUUAGCAAAGGAACCGCGGUUUCACAAGAAGACCAGACACAUCAAAUGACGCUUCAACCUCAUCCGCGACUACGUCGAGGGAGAGGACGUGAAUAUAUGCAAAGUGCACACGGAUCUGAAUGUAGCAGACCCGCUGACUAAACCUCUUCCAAGGCCAAAACAUGAUCAACACCAGAACUGUAUGGGUGUUAGAUUUAUAACAAUGUAAUUCACAUGGUGAUGUGAGGGAUAGAUUAUUGACUCUAGUGCAAGUGGGAGACUGUUGGAAUUAUGCCCUAGAGGCAAUAAUAAAUAUAGUUAUUAUUAUAAUUCCUGUAUCAAGAUAAUCGUUUAUUAUCCAUGCUAUAAUUGUAUUGAAUGAAGACUCAUUACAUGUGUGGAUACAUAGACAAAACACCGUCCCUAGCAAGCCUCUAGUUGGCUAGCCAGUUGAUCAAAGAUAGUCAGUGUCUUCUGAUUAUGAACAAGGUGUUGUUGCUUGAUAACUGGAUCACGUUAUUAGGAGAAUCACGUGAUGGACUAGACCCAAACUAAUAGACAUAGCAUGUUGAUCGUGUCAUUUUGUUGCUACUGUUUUCUGCGUGUCAAGUAUUUAUUCCUAUGACCAUGAGAUCAUAUAACUCACUGACACCGGAGGAAUGCUUUGUGUGUAUCAAACGUCGCAACGUAACUGGGUGACUAUAAAGAUGCUCUACAGGUAUCUCCGAAGGUGUUAGUUGAGUUAGUAUGGAUCAAGACUGGGAUUUGUCACUCCGUGUGAACGGAGAGGUAUCUCGGGGCCCACUCAGUAAUACAACAUCACACACAAGCCUUGCAAGCAAUGUAACUUAGUGUAAGUUGCGGGAUCUUGUAUUACGGAACGAGUAAAGAGACUUGCCGGUAAACGAGAUUGAAAUAGGUAUACGGAUACUGACGAUCGAAUCUCGGGCAAGUAACAUACCGAAGGACAAAGGGAAUAACAUACGGGAUUAUAUGAAUCCUUGGCACUGAGGUUCAAACGAUAAGAUCUUCGUAGAAUAUGUAGGAUCCAAUAUGGGCAUCCAGGUCCCGCUAUUGGAUAGUGACCGAGGUGUCUCUCGGGUCAUGUCUACAUAGUUCUCGAACCCGCAGGGUCUGCACACUUAAGGUUCGACGUUGUUUUUUGCGUAUUUGAGUUAUAUGGUUGGUUACAGAAUGUUGUUCGGAGUCCCGGAUGAGAUCACGGACGUCACAAGGGUUUCCAGAAUAGUCCGGAAACGAAGAUUGAUAUAUAGGAUGACCUCAUUUGAUUACCGGAAGGUUUUCGGAGUUACCGGAAAUGUACCGGGAAUGACGAAUGGGUUCCGGGAGUUCACCGGGGGGGCAACCCACCCCGGGGAAGCCCAUAGGCCUUGAGGGUGGCACACCAGCCCUUAGUGGGCUGGUGGGACAGCCCAAAAGGGCUCUAUGCGCCAAGAAGAGAAAAUCAAGAGAGCAAAGAAAAAAAARGGAGGAGGUGGGAAGGAAGGGGGACUCCCUCCCACCAAACCAAGUCCAACUCGGUUUGGGGGGGGGGAGUCCUCCCCCCUUGGACUCGGCCGACCCCCUUGGGGCUCCUUGAGCCCCAAGGCAAGGUCCCCUCCCUCCCACCUAUAUAUACAGAGGUUUUAGGGCUGAUUUGAGACGACUUUCCCACGGCAGCCCGACCACAUACCUCCACGGUUUUUCCUCUAGAUCGCGUUUCUGCGGAGCUCGGGCGGAGCCCUGCUGAGACAAGGUCAUCACCAACCUCCGGAGCGCCGUCAUGCUGCUGGAGAACUCUUCUACCUCUCCGUCUCUCUUGCUGGAUCAAGAAGGCCGAGAUCAUCGUCGAGCUGUACGUGUGCUGAACGCGGAGGUGCCGUCCGUUCGGUACUAGAUCGUGGGACUGAUCGCGGGAUUGUUCGCGGGGCGGAUCGAGGGACGUGAGGACGUUCCACUACAUCAACCGCGUUCUCUAACGCUUCUGCUGUACGAUCUACAAGGGUACGUAGAUCACUCAUCCCCUCUCGUAGAUGGACAUCACCAUGAUAGGUCUUCGUGCGCGUAGGAAAAUUUUUGUUUCCCAUGCGACGUUCCCCAACAGUUUUCACAUGGAAGCAACUGCACCUGCAACUAGCAACGCUAACACAGGGUUAAGCAAGCAGUAACAUAGCCCAUCAGUGGUUUGCUAGGUUGAACAGGUUGAAGGUUUUCAUGGCAUUGUUGAGAGGCUGAUAUUUAACAUGUGGUAGGCAACGAGACAUAAUCGAUAGAAGCGAUAAAACUAGCAUGGCAAUGAUAGUAAUGGUAUCUGGCAAAUGGUCAUCUUGCCUGAGAUCCCGCUUGGAAGAAGAAUGCCUCCGUGAAGCAGACGAACCGACGUAGUCGAACGAGUCCUCACAUCCAACACGCUUACGGAACUCUAUCGGGACGGGGAAAACCGGAAACAAUUAUCAACACACGAAAUUCACCUCGCGAUGCACAACACAAAUGAUGCAUGAGCAGCUGAAUACAUGCAAGUCACGGCAUGACAAAUCACACAAUCAAACACUACACAUUAAGUGAAGUUCAAUAUGCAACGAGUUGCAUAUUGACGAAACUCCACGUUAAUUAUUCAGUUCUAUCCCGAUUAGAUACUCGGAAAUAUUAAAUGUGAUUAAACAUGGCAAGAGGUGAAGCGUAAUUAAACUACUUAUCUAGGCAUUUUAAAUGAGGUCGGAAAUGACAUAUAGCAUCUCCGAGGCGACCUCACAUGUUAAUUUACAAUUCUGUCCAGAUCUGAACUAACACAUUUAAUUAGUUGUUAAACAGCAAAACAAAUAGGUUCACGUGAUUCUACGCGUCAAGGCAAGCAAUUUACACAUAGAGAACAUCUCCAACGGAGCUACGGAUCAAAAGUUACAAGCACCGCAAGAUAUGAUGGCAUGAAUGCAAUAUGUGUGCAACGACGGCUACGAGCACUUCAAAACAUACAACCAGCAAGAGAAAAUGAAACUACACGAGAUUCUAAGCAAGUUUCAUGUAGGACACGAUCAAAUCGGAGCUAUGCUUCAACAACUACGAGCAAAACUAGAAAUCACUACAAUCUGCCAAAAUCAGCCACAUAGCAUUUUCUACGCCCCACAACUACGAGCUACACAACUCAAAUAUAAUCAACUAAGGCAUGACACGAAAGAGGGCAAGAAGCACUACAACGAACAACAAACAACAACUAGCAUGGCAGCAAGGAACACAACGAAAAGAAAUCACAAAAUGGCUUCCCACACACUAUUUCGGACUUAGUGAAAAUUACACUUCAUGAAAGUGCAGUUUUCGAUCUGAAACAAUAUUGACAGCAGCAAAAUCAUAAGCUACAAGACUCCAAAUGGCAUAAAAAUUCACAACUUUCUAGAGAAACACAAGGACUACAAUUUACUCCAUUGGACCAACCUCAAAAUAGCUACAGAUCACAAGAUAUAAGCAAGACAAGACAGCAACAAAAUAUAACAGAUCUCAGACUUAGAAAUAUUUCAGCUCCUCCAAAUCAGCACUAUUUCUAGCAACUUGAGAGCAAGCAAACCACACCUAAACAUGCAUUUCUAUUGCAACCAAAAUACCAGGGGCUAGAGUAAACAUCCAAGAACAACUCUCUAGUUGACAACUCCGUCAAACAAAGCACGGAAUAAAUCCUACGAAAAUGACAAGAGGGCAACAUGGCAAAAUAUCGCGCGAACUAACUUGCUCAAAAGCUAAAACUAAUUGCACAGAAAAAUCACAUGGAUUUUUCUACCCCGAAAACAUAUAAAAUAUGUGGGAUUGCACAACAUUAAUAAUGCCAAACGUAAAUGCGAGAAAAAUAUCUAGACACGAAAAAAUAAACUAGCGGCAAAUCCCUACGCGCAAAAAUACCAAUGGCUACUCUAAAAUACAUGGAAAAUGGGUCCCUAGAGCAUGAACAUUUUAUCUAAGGCAUUCAGGCAAACCGGACACACGCGAAAAAUAAACACGGGACGCAAACAUAUUAGGACAGCACGUUAAUCUAUGCAUACGGCAUGCUAAACAUCGUCAAACAAAUAUGCAAGUUGCACCAACGUAUUCUAUGCGCAAAACUACGCGAAAUCCAUAUAUUACACGUCUCGAUCCGACUAACGGUUAACAAGUUACGGACAAAAGUAUAUACACUUAUUUUUAUGGAAUUUUAUUAAAUUCCGAAAAAUCCAAAAUUACCUAAUGGGCCUAACAGCGGGGGCAUAACAACAAAAUUGCGCUUAGGCGGAAAAUACCUUGGGGRAMGGNNNNNNNNNNNNNNNNNNNNNNNNNNNNNNNNNNNNNNNNNNNNNNNNNNNNNNNNNNNNNNNNNNNNNNNNNNNNNNNNNNNNNNNNNNNNNNNNNNNNAAGGUCUCCCUCCCUCCUCCUAUAUAUAUGGGGCUUUUAGGGCAGAUUUGAGACGACUUUCUCACGGCUGCCCGACCACAUACCUCCAUAGUUUUUCCUCUAGAUCGUGUUUCUGCGGAGCUCGGGCGGAGCCCUGCUGAGACAAGAUCAUCACCAACCUCCGGAGCACCGUCACGAUGCCGGAGAACUCUUCUACCUCUCCGUCUCUCUUGCUGGAUCAAGAAGGCAGAGAUCAUCGUCGAGCUGUACGUGUGCUGAACGCGGAGGUGCCGUCCGUUCGGUACUAGAUCGUGGGACUGAUCGCGGGAUUGUUCGCGGGGCGGAUCGAGGGACGUGAGGACGUUCCACUACAUCAACCGCGAUCUCUAAUCGCUUCUGCUGUACGAUCUACAAGGGUACGUAGAUCACUCAUCCCCUCUCGUAGAUGGACAUCACCAUGAUAGGUCUUCGUGCGCGUAGGAAAUUUUUUGUUUCCCAUGCGACGUUCCCCAACACCCACUUGCUUUCUUUUAUGCUUUUUAUGGGGCAAAUAUAACUUCGUGUACUUUCAGGACCGUUUUGUGUGUGUGUGUGUUUUAACCGGAUUUUGUUUUGUUUUACUCUGUUUUUUUCAAAUGUAUCAACUUCUCAGAAUUUCAAAAAUAAUAAUUCAAAUGUAAUAUUUUUCUCAAUAUGUGAACCUUUUCAACUUUCAGAGUUCAUUUUUGCGACUUUUCUCGUGAACUUUUGUUUCACUCGAAUUUUUUCAAAACCGUGAAAGUUAUUUUUCAGAAAUCGAUGAAAUUUUUUCAAAUCCGCGAACACUUACGAUGGCCCAAUAGGCGCCCGAUGGGACGAUAACAUCACCUAGUUCGGCCGAGGACUAAGCGUAAUUUAUAUUCUACAUUUUUGUAUUUCUUAUCUUUUUUGUUAAUUUAUUCUUAUCCUUUCUGAACUUUAUUAUUCUUCUUGAAACAUGUUCAAAAAAAUGAAAAAAAAUUGGAAUACAAAAAAUGUUCCUAUUUUCAAAUGUUGUUUACAAUUUUUGAAAAUUUUCUGGAAUUUCAAUAUAUAUUUGUGUUUCAAACUAAGUUGAUAUUUUUUAGAAUUACAUUGUUUGCGAUUUGUGCUCAAAAUUUUCAUUAAUUGUGUUGAAUAUGUUAACAAUUUUGAAAAAAGUUUUAUGUUUUGUAAAAAAUUCAGAAACAAUUUGCAAAUUUUUAAAAUUGGUGAAAAAAUUUCAAGAUUUUUUAAGGCAUAAAAAAUGUUCAUGUUGACUGAUAAUGAAGGAAAUUGCAAAUGACAGAAGCAUUCAAAUUGGGAAGAACUACAUGCUCAUGGAUGCAUUCGUGGGACCUAGUGUGCCACACUUCUCUCAACUCNUCAUUUUUUGGACNNNNNNNNNNNNNNNNNNNNNNNNNNNNNNNNNNNNNNNNNNNNNNNNNNNNNNNNNNNNNNNNNNNNNNNNNNNNNNNNNNNNNNNNNNNNNNNNNNNNGAAGGUCCCUAUGUUGUUGAGGAAGUAUAUCGUUUCGGUGCUAUCAAGAUCAACAACACGGAAGGUAAUUGUCCGAGAGUUGUAAAUGUUGGAAUUAUGCCCUAGAGGCAAUAAUAAAUGUAUAGUUAUUAUUAUAAUUCCUGUAUCAAGAUAAUAGUUUAUUAUCCAUGCUAUAAUUGUAUUGAAUGAAGGCUCAUUUACAUGUGUGGAUACAUAGACAAAACACCGUCCCUAGCAUGCCUCUAGUUGGCUAGCCAGUUGAUCGAUGAUAGUCAGUGUCUUCUGAUUAUGAACAAGGUGUUGUUGCUUGAUAACUGGAUCACGUCAUUAGGAGAAUCACGUGAUGGACUAGACCCAAACUAAUAGACGUAGCAUGUUGAUCGUGUCAUUUUGUUGCUACUGUUUUCUGCGUGUCAAGUAUUUAUUCCUAUGACCAUGAGAUCGUAUAACUCACUGACACCGGAGGAAUGCUUUGUGUGUAUCAAACGUCGCAACGUAACUGGGUGACUAUAAAGAUGCUCUACAGGUAUCUCCGAAGGUGUUAGUUGAGUUAGUAUGGAUCAAGACUGGGAUUUGUCACUCCGUGUGAACGGAGAGGUAUCUCGGGGCCCACUCAGUAAUACAACAUCACACACAAGCCUUGCAAGCAAUGUAACUUAGUGUAAGUUGCGGGAUCUUGUAUUACGGAACGAGUAAAGAGACUUGCCGGUAAACGAGAUUGAAAUAGGUAUACGGAUACUGACGAUCGAAUCUCGGGCAAGUAACAUACCGAAGGACAAAGGGAAUAACAUACGGGAUUAUAUGAAUCCUUGGCACUGAGGUUCAAACGAUAAGAUCUUCGUAGAAUAUGUAGGAUCCAAUAUGGGCAUCCAGGUCCCGCUAUUGGAUAGUGACCGAGGUGUCUCUCUGGUCAUGUCUACAUAGUUCUCAAACCCGCAGGGUCUGCACACUUAAGGUUCGACGUUGUUUUUUGCGUAUUUGAGUUAUAUGGUUGGUUACCGAAUGUUGUUCGGAGUCCCGGAUGAGAUCACGGACGUCACGAGGGUUUCCGGAAUAGUCCGGAAACGAAGAUUGAUAUAUAGGAUAACCUCAUUUGAUUACCGGAAGGUUUUCGGAGUUACCGGAAAUGUACCGGGAAUGACGAAUGGGUUCCGGGAGUUCACCGAGGGGGGGGGGGAACCCACCCCGGGGAAGCCCAUAGGCCUUGAGGGUGGCACACCAGCCCUUAGUGGGCUGGUGGGACAGCCCAAAAGGGCUCUAUGCGCCAAGAAGAGAAAAUCAAGAGAGCAAAGAAAAAAAAAGGAGGAGGUGGGAAGGAAGGGGGACUCCCUCCCACCAAACCAAGUCCAACUCGGUUUGGGGGGGGGGGAGGUCUCCCCCCCUUGGACUCGGCCGACCCCCUUGGGGCUCUUGAGUCCCAAGGCAAGGUCCCCUCCCUCCCACCUAUAUAUACGGAGGUUUUAGGGCUGAUUUGAGACGACUUUCCCACGGCAGCCCGACCACAUACCUCCACGGUUUUUCCUCUAGAUCGCGUUUCUGCGGAGCUCGGGCGGAGCCCUGCUGAGACAAGGUCAUCACCAACCUCCGGAGCGCCGUCACGCUGCCGGAGAACUCUUCUACCUCUUCGUCUCUCUUGCUGGAUCAAGAAGGCCGAGAUCAUCGUCGAGCUGUACGUGUGCUGAACGCGGAGGUGCCGUCCGUUCGGUACUAGAUCGUGGGACUGAUCGCGGGAUUGUUCGCGGGGCGGAUCGGAGGGACGUGAGGACGUUCCACUACAUCAACCGCGAUCUCUAAUCGCUUCUUCUGUACGAUCUACAAGGGUACGUAGAUCACUCAUCCCCUCUCGUAGAUGGACAUCACCAUGAUAGGUCUUCGUGCGCGUAGGAAAAUUUUUGUUUCCCAUGCGACGUUCCCCAACAGUGGCAUCAUGAGCUAGGUUCAUGCGUAGAUGUCUUCUCGAGUAGAACACAAAAGGUUUUGUGGGCGGUGAUGUGCGUUUUGCUGCCCUCCUUAGUCUUUUCUUGAUUCCGCGGUAUUGUUGGAUUGAAGCGGCUUGGACCGACAUUACUCGUACGCUUACGAGAGACUGGUUUCAUCGUUACGAGUAACCCCCUUUGCUCAAAGAUGACUGGCAAGUGACGGUUUCUCCAACUUUAGUUGAAUCGGAUAUGACCGAGGAGGUCCUUGGAUGAGGUUAAAUAGCAAUUCAUAUAUCUCCGUUGUGGUGUUUGCGUAAGUAAGAUGCGAUCCUACUAGAUACCCUUGGUCACCACGUAAAACAUGCAACAACAAAAUUAGAGGACGUCUAACUUGUUUUUGCAGGGUAUGAUUGUGAUGUGAUAUGGCCAAUGAUGUGAUGUGAUAUAUUGGAUGUAUGAGAUGAUCAUGUUGUAAUAGAAAUAUCGACUUGCACGUCGAUGGUACGGCAACCGGCAGGAGCCAUAGGGUUGUCUUUAUACUAACAUAUGUGCUUGCAGAUGCGUUUACUAUUUUGCUAGGAUGUAGCUUUAGUAGUAAUAGCAUAAGUAGCAUGACAACCCCGAUGGCAACACGUUGAUGGAUGAUCAUGGUGUGGCGCCGGUGACAAGCAGAUCGUGCCGGUGCUUUGGUGAUGGAGAUCAAGAAGCACGUGAUGAUGGCCAUAUCAUGUCACUUAUGAAUUGCAUGUGAUGUUAAUCCUUUUAUGCACCUUAUUUUGCUUAGAACGACGGUAGCAUUAUGAGGUGAUCUCUCACUAAAAUUUCAAGACGAAAUUGUGUUCUCCCCGACUGUGCACCGUUGCGACAGUUCUUCGUUUCGAGACACCACGUGAUGAUCGGGUGUGAUAGACUCAACGUUCACAUACAACGGGUGCAAAANNNNNNNNNNNNNNNNNNNNNNNNNNNNNNNNNNNNNNNNNNNNNNNNNNNNNNNNNNNNNNNNNNNNNNNNNNNNNNNNNNNNNNNNNNNNNNNNNNNNGGAGGAGGAGGAGGUAGGAGGUAGGAGNGNAGGAGAGGAGGAGAUGGAGUGGAGGAGACGAGGAGAAGAAUGAUGGCGUAAGUGACUGGCCGGUCCUUUUAGCCCAACUUAGCAGUGGCGCACCUUGCAUUGGUGCGCCAUUGCUAUUUUUUUGAAUUAUGAAGGCGGGAAAAUAGUAGUGGCGCACUAUUUACUAAUGCACCAUUGCUAAUUUUUUAUUUUGUCUUUUUUUUUGUAAUUGUGCAGGCGGGAAUAUAGUAGUGGCGCAUUAUUCAUAAGGUGCGCCAUUGCUAAUUUAAUUAUUUGUUGCAUUUUUUCGAUUUUUUUGCCUCAAGAUCUUAAAAGCAUCAUAACUUUUUUCUGUUAGGUUUCUGGGGAUUCGAAAAAUCUUCAACGGGGUCCCCCCGUUUGAAUUCGGGUGUAACUUUUCGAGUAGAUGACUUUUUAUAUAAAAAACUUUUUCAUCGGAGGUCGUAUGCAAAAGUUACAGCCAUUUUACCGAAAAACGAUGGCCUUUUGACAAAAAAAAAAACAUGUUUGUUAAUUUUCUUAACAACUAGAACACAUAACCACAUGGGNNNNNNNNNNNNNNNNNNNNNNNNNNNNNNNNNNNNNNNNNNNNNNNNNNNNNNNNNNNNNNNNNNNNNNNNNNNNNNNNNNNNNNNNNNNNNNNNNNNNAGAUACUGCCUNAGGGCCGCAAGGCUAUUCAGAACAAAUGGANCUUUAAGAAGAAGACGGACGCUGACGGUAAUGUGACCGUUUAUAAAGCUCGACUUGUGGCAAAGGGUUUUUCACAAGUUCCAGGAAUUGACUACGAUGAGACUUUCUCCCCCGUAGCGAUGCUUAAGUCCGUCAGAAUCAUGUUAGCAAUAGCUGCAUUUUUCGAUUAUGAAAUCUGGCAGAUGGAUGUCAAAACGGCGUUCCUUAACGGUUUCCUUAAGGAAGAGUUGUAUAUGAUGCAACCCGAAGGUUUUGUCGAUCCUAAAAAUGCUGACAAGGUGUGCAAGCUCCAACGAUCCAUUUAUGGACUGGUGCAAGCAUCUCGGAGUUGGAACAAACGCUUUGAUGAGGUGAUCAAAGCAUUUGGGUUUAUACAAGUGGUUGGAGAAUCUUGUAUUUACAAGAAAGUGAGUGGGAGCUCUGUGGCGUUUCUAAUAUUAUAUGUGGAUGACAUAUUACUGAUUGGAAACAACGUAGAGUGUUUAGAGAGCAUAAAGGAUUACUUGAAUAAAAGUUUCUCUAUGAAGGACCUAGGAGAAGCUGCUUACAUUCUAGGNNNNNNNNNNNNNNNNNNNNNNNNNNNNNNNNNNNNNNNNNNNNNNNNNNNNNNNNNNNNNNNNNNNNNNNNNNNNNNNNNNNNNNNNNNNNNNNNNNNNUGCCAAGGAUUCAUAUAAUCCCGUAUGUUAUUCCCUUUGUCCUUCGGUAUGUUACUUGCCCGAGAUUCGAUCGUCAGUAUCCGUAUACCUAUUUCAAUCUCGUUUACCGGCAAGUCUCUUUACUCGUUCCGUAAUACAAGAUCCCGCAACUUACACUAAGUUACAUUGCUUGCAAGGCUUGUGUGUGAUGUUGUAUUACCGAGUGGGCCCCGAGAUACCUCUCCGUCCACACGGAGUGACAAAUCCCAGUCUUGAUCCAUACUAACUCAACUAACACCUUUGGAGAUACCUAUAGAGCAUCUUUAUAGUCACCCAGUUACGUUACGACGUUUGAUACACACAAAGCAUUCCUCCGGUGUCAGUGAGUUAUAUGAUCUCAUGGUCAUAGGAAUAAAUACUUGACAUGCAGAAAACAGUAGCAACAAAAUGACACGAUCAACAUGCUACGUCUAUUAGUUUGGGUCUAAUCCAUCACGUGAUUCUCCUAAUAACGUGAUCCAGUUAUCAAGCAACAACACCUUGUUCAUAAUCAGAAGACACUGACUAUAUUUGAUCAACUGGCUAGCCAACUAGAGGCUUGCUAGGGACGGUGUUUUGUCUAUGUAUCCACACAUGUAAAUGAGUCUUCAUUCAAUACAAUUAUAGCAUGGAUAAUAAACGAUUAUCUUGAUACAGGAAUUAUAAUAAUAACUAUAUUUAUUAUUGCCUCUAGGGCAUAAUUCCAACAUUUACAACUCUCGGACAAUUACCUUCCGUGUUGUUGAUCUUGAUAGCACCGAAACGAUAUACUUCCUCAACAACAUAGGGACCUUCCCAUUUAGAGAGAAGCUUNNNNNNNNNNNNNNNNNNNNNNNNNNNNNNNNNNNNNNNNNNNNNNNNNNNNNNNNNNNNNNNNNNNNNNNNNNNNNNNNNNNNNNNNNNNNNNNNNNNNAAGCUUCUCUCUAAAUGGGAAGGUCCCUAUGUUGUUGAGGAAGUAUAUCGUUUCGGUGCUAUCAAGAUCAACAACACGGAAGGUAAUUGUCCGAGAGUUGUAAAUGUUGGAAUUAUGCCCUAGAGGCAAUAAUAAAUAUAGUUAUUAUUAUAAUUCCUGUAUCAAGAUAAUCGUUUAUUAUCCAUGCUAUAAUUGUAUUGAAUGAAGACUCAUUUACAUGUGUGGAUACAUAGACAAAACACCGUCCCUAGCAAGCCUCUAGUUGGCUAGCCAGUUGAUCAAAUAUAGUCAGUGUCUUCUGAUUAUGAACAAGGUGUUGUUGCUUGAUAACUGGAUCACGUUAUUAGGAGAAUCACGUGAUGGACUAGACCCAAACUAAUAGACAUAGCAUGUUGAUCGUGUCAUUUUGUUGCUACUGUUUUCUGCGUGUCAAGUAUUUAUUCCUAUGACCAUGAGAUCGUAUAACUCACUGACACCGGAGGAAUGCUUUGUGUGUAUCAAACGUCGCAACGUAACUGGGUGACUAUAAAGAUGCUCUACAGGUAUCUCCGAAGGUGUUAGUUGAGUUAGUAUGGAUCAAGACUGGGAUUUGUCACUCCGUGUGACGGAGAGGUAUCUCGGGGCCCACUCGGUAAUACAACAUCACACACAAGCCUUGCAAGCAAUGUAACUUAGUGUAAGUUGCGGGACCUUGUAUUACGGAACGAGUAAAGAGACUUGCCGGUAAACGAGGUUGAAAUAGGUAUGCGGAUACUGACGAUCGAAUCUCGGGCAAGUAACAUACCGAAGGACAAAGGGAAUGACAUACGGGAUCAUACGAAUCCUUGGCACUGAGGUUCAAACGANNNNNNNNNNNNNNNNNNNNNNNNNNNNNNNNNNNNNNNNNNNNNNNNNNNNNNNNNNNNNNNNNNNNNNNNNNNNNNNNNNNNNNNNNNNNNNNNNNNNUAGACCCAAACUAAUAGACGUAGCAUGUUGAUCGUGUCAUUUUGUUGCUACUGUUUUCUGCGUGUCAAGUAUUUAUUCCUAUGACCAUGAGAUCGUAUAACUCACUGACACCGGAGGAAUGCUUUGUGUGUAUCAAACGUCGCAACGUAACUGGGUGACUAUAAAGAUGCUCUACAGGUAUCUCCGAAGGUGUUAGUUGAGUUAGUAUGGAUCAAGACUGGGCUUUGUCACUCCGUGUGACGGAGAGGUAUCUCUGGGCCCACUCGGUAAUACAACAUCACACACAAGCCUUGCAAGCAAUGUAACUUAGUGUAAGUUGCGGGACCUUGUAUUACGGAACGAGUAAAGAGACUUGCCGGUAAACGAGGUUGAAAUAGGUAUGCGGAUACUGACGAUCGAAUCUCGGGCAAGUAACAUACCGAAGGACAAAGGGAAUGACAUACGGGAUUAUACGAAUCCUUGGCACUGAGGUUCAAACAAUAAGAUCUUCGUAGAAUAUGUAGGAUCCAAUAUGGGCAUCCAGGUCCCGCUAUUGGAUAUUGACCGAGGAGUCUCUCGGGUCAUGUCUACAUAGUUCUCGAACCCGCAGGGUCUGCACACUUAAGGUUCGACGUUGUUUUAUGCGUAUUUGAGUUAUAUGGUUGGUUACCGAAUGUUGUUCGGAGUCCCGGAUGAGAUCACGGACGUCACGAGGGUUUCCGGAAUGGUCCGGAAACGAAGAUUGAUAUGUAGGAUGACCUCAUUUGAUUACCGGAAGGUUUUCGGAGUUACCGGGAAUGUACCGGGAAUGACGAAUGGGUUCCGGGAGUUCACCGGAGGGGGCAACCCACUCCGGGGAAGCCCAUAGGUAUUUGGGGGGUCACACCAGCCCUUAGUGGGCUGGUGGGACAGCCCACCAAUCCCCUAUGCGCCAAGAUAGAAAAAUCAAAGGAAAGAAAAAAAAAGAGGGAGAGGUGGGAAGGGGGAAGGACUCCCUCCACCAAACCAAGUAGGACUCGGUUUGGGGGUGGGGGGGANAGUCCCCCCCCCNNNNNNNNNNNNNNNNNNNNNNNNNNNNNNNNNNNNNNNNNNNNNNNNNNNNNNNNNNNNNNNNNNNNNNNNNNNNNNNNNNNNNNNNNNNNNNNNNNNNGGGUCCAAGGGAACCCCAAGGGGUCGGCCGAGCCAGGGGGGAGGACUCCUCCCCCCCCAAACCGAGUCCUACUUGGUUUGGUGGGAGGGAGUCCUUCCCCCUUCCCACCUCUCCCUUUUUUUUCUUUCCUUUGAUAUUUUCUCUUCCUUGGCGCAUCGGAUUUGGUGGGCUGUCCCACCAGCCCACUAAGGGCUGGUGUGACCCCCCCAAAUACCUAUGGGCUUCCCCGGAGUGGGUUGCCCCCCUCCGGUGAACCCCCGGAACCCAUUUGUCAUUCCCGGUACAUUCCCGGUAACUCCGAAAACCUUCCGGUAAUCAAAUGAGGUCAUCCUAUAUAUCAAUCUUCGUUUCCGGACCAUUCCGGAAACCCUCGUGACGUCCGUGAUCUCAUCCGGGACUCCGAACAACAUUCGGUAACCAACCAUAUAACUCAAAUACGCAUAAAACAACGUCGAACCUUAAGUGUGCAGACCCUGCGGGUUCGAGAACUAUGUAGACAUGACCCGAGAGACUCCUCGGUCAAUAUNNNNNNNNNNNNNNNNNNNNNNNNNNNNNNNNNNNNNNNNNNNNNNNNNNNNNNNNNNNNNNNNNNNNNNNNNNNNNNNNNNNNNNNNNNNNNNNNNNNNAAUAAUAACUAUACAUUUAUUAUUGCCUCUAGGGCAUAAUUCCAACAGUCUCCCACUUGCACUAGAGUCAAUAAUCUAGCCCUCACAUCACCAUGUGAAUUACAUUGUAAUAAAUCUAACACCCAUACAGUUCUGGUGUCGAUCAUGUUUUGGCCAUGGAAGAGGUUUAGUCAGCGGGUCUGCUACAUUCAGAUCCGUGUGCACUUUGCAUAUAUUUACGUCCUCCUCCUCGACGUAGUCGCGGAUGAGGUUGAAGCGUCGUUUGAUGUGUCUGGUCUUCUUGUGAAACCUUGGUUCCUUUGCUAAGGCAAUGGCACCAGUGUUGUCACAGAACAAGUUUAUUGGAUCCAGUGCACUUGGCACCACUCCAAGAUCCGUCAUGAACUACUUCAUCCAGACACCCUCCUUAGCCGCCUCCGAGGCAGCCAUGUACUCCGCUUCACAUGUAGAAUCUGCUACGACGCUUUGCUUGGAACUGCACCAGCUUACUGCACCCCCAUUAAGAAUAAAUACGUAUCCGGUUUGUGACUUAGAGUCGUCCGGAUCUGUGUCAAAGCUUGCAUCAACGUAACCUUUUACGGCGAGCUCUUCGUCACCUCCAUACACGAGAAACAUCUCCUUAGUCCUUUUCAGGUACUUCAGGAUAUUCUUGACCGCCGUCCAGUGAUCCACUCCUGGAUUACUCUGGAACCUGCCUGCCAUACUUAUGGCCAGGCUAACAUCCGGUCUAGUGCACAGCAUCGCAUACAUGAUAGAGCCUAUGGCUGAAGCAUAGGGGACGGAGCGCAUAUGCUCUCUAUCUUCAUCAGUUGCUGGGCACUGAGUCUUACUCAAUCUCGUACCUUGUAACACUGGCAAGAACCCUUUCUUGGACUGUUCCAUUUUGAACCUCUUCAAAACUUUAUCAAGGUAUGUGCUUUGUGAAAGUCCUAUCAGGCGUUUUGAUCUAUCCCUAUAGAUCUUAAUGCCUAGAAUGUAAGCAGCUUCCCCUAGGUCCUUCAUAGAGAAACUUUUAUUCAAGUAACCUUUUAUGCUCUCCAAAAGCUCUACGUUGUUUCCAAUCAGUAAUAUGUCAUCCACAUAUAAUAUUAGAAACGCCACAGAGCUCCCACUCACUUUCUUGUAAAUACAAGAUUCUCCAACUACUUGUAUAAACCCAAAUGCUUUGAUCACCUCAUCAAAGCGUUUGUUCCAACUCCGAGAUGCUUGCACCAGUCCAUAAAUGGAUCGUUGGAGCUUGCACACCUUGUCAGCAUUUUUAGGAUCGACAAAACCUUCGGGUUGCAUCAUAUACAACUCUUCCUUAAGGAAACCGUUAAGGAACGCCGUUUUGACAUCCAUCUGCCAGAUUUCAUAAUCGAAAAAUGCAGCUAUUGCUAACAUGAUUCUGACGGACUUAAGCAUCGCUACGGGGGAGAAAGUCUCAUCGUAGUCAAUUCCUGGAACUUGUGAAAAACCCUUUGCCACAAGUCGAGCUUUAUAAACGGUCACAUUACCGUCAGCGUCCGUCUUCUUCUUAAAGAUCCAUUUGUUCUGAAUAGCCUUGCGGCCCUCAGGCAGUAUCUCCAAAGUCCACACUUUGUUCUCAUACAUGGAUCCUAUCUCGGAUUUCAUGGCUUCUAGCCAUUUGUUGGAAACUGGGCCCACCAUUGCUUCUUCAUAAUUUGCAGGUUCAUUGUUGUCUAACAACAUGAUUGAUAAGACGGGAUUACCGUACCACUCUGGAGCAGCGCGUGAUCUCGUCGACCUGCGUGGUUCAACAGAAACUUGAACUGGAGUUUCAUGAUCAUCAUCAUUAACUUCCUCCUCAACCGGCGUCGCAAUGACAGAGGUUUCCCCUUGCCCUGCGCCACCAUCCAGAGGGAUGAGAGGUUCGACAACCUCGUCAAGUUCUAUCUUCCUCCCACUCAAUUCUCUCGAGAGAAACUCCUUCUCGAGAAAAGUUCCGUUCUUAGCAACAAACACUUUGCCCUCGGAUUUGAGAUAGAAGGUGUACCCAACUGUCUCUUUUGGGUAACCUAUGAAGACACAUUUUUCCGCUUUGGGUUCCAGCUUUUCAGGCUGAAGCUUUUUGACAUAAGCAUCACAUCCCCAAACUUUAAGAAACGACAAUUUUGGUCUUUUGCCAUACCACAGUUCGUAUGGUGUCGUCUCAACGGAUUUUGAUGGUGCCCUAUUUAAAGUGAAUGCAGCUGUUUCUAAUGCAUAGCCCCAAAAUGAUAACGACAAAUCAGUAAGAGACAUCAUAGAUCGCACCAUCUCUAACAAGUACGAUUACGACGUUCGGACACACCAUUACGCUGUGGUGUUCCAGGCGGUGUUAACUGCGAAACAAUUCCACAUUGUCUUAAGUGAGUACCAAACUCGAAACUCAGAUAUUCACCCCCACAAUCAGACCGUAGGAACUUGAUCUUCUUGUUACGAUGAUUUUCCACUUCACUCUGAAAUUGCUUGAACUUUUCAAAUGUUUCAGACUUGUGCUUCAUCAAGUAGACAUAACCAUAUCUGCUUAAAUCGUCAGUGAAGGUGAGAAAAUAACGAUAUCCGCCGCGUGCCUCCACGCUCAUCGGACCACACACAUCGGUAUGUAUGAUUUCCAACAAGUCACUUGCACGCUCCAUUGUUCCGGAGAACGGAGUUUUAGUCAUCUUGCCCAUGAGGCAUGGUUCGCACGUGUCAAGUGAAUCAAAGUCAAGUGACUCCAAAAGUCCAUCGGCAUGGAGUUUCUUCAUGCGCUUUACACCAAUAUGACCUAAGCGGCAGUGCCACAAGAAUAUGGCGCUAUCAUUGUUUACUCUAACUCUUUUGGUCUCAAUGUUAUGUAUAUGCGUAUCGCUAUCGAGAUUCAAUAUGAACAAUCCUCUCACAUUUGGUGCAUGACCAUAAAAGAUGUUACUCAUAGAAAUAGAACAACCAUUAUUCUCAGACUUAAAAGAGUAACCGUCUCGCAAUAAAAAAGAUCCAGAUAUAAUGUUCAUGCUCAACGCAGGCACUAAAUAACAAUGAUUUAAGUUGAUCACUAAUCCCGAUGGUAGUUGAAGUUACACGGUGCCGACGGCGAUUGCAUCAACCUUGGAACCGUUUCCUACGCGCAUCGUCACUUCGUCUUUCGCCAGCCUUCGUCUAUUCCGCAGUUCCUGUUUUGAGUUGCAAAUGUGAGCAACAGAACCGGUAUCGAAUACCCAGGCACUACUACGAGAGCUGGUUAAGUACACAUCAAUAACAUGUAUAUCAAAUAUACCUGAUUUUUCUUUGCCCGCCUUCUUAUCUGCCAGAUACUUGGGGCAAUUGCGCUUCCAGUGACCCAUACCCUUGCAAUAGAAGCACUCUGUUUCAGGCUUAGGUCCAGCCUUGGGUUUCUUCGGCGGAUUGGCAACAGGCUUGCCGCUCUUCUUCGAAUUGCCCUUCUUGCCUUUGCCGUUUCUCUUGAAACUAGUGGUCUUGCUCACCAUCAACACUUAAUGCUCUUUACGGAGUUCAGACUCUGCGACUUUCAGCAUCGCAAACAACUCGCCGGGAGACUUGUUCAUCCCUUGCAUGUUGUAGUUCAACACAAAGCCUUUAUAGCUUGGCGGCAGUGAUUGGAGGAUUCUGUCAGUGAUAGCUUCUUGCGGGAGUUCAAUCCCCAGUUCAGCUAGACGGUUUGAGUACCCAGACAUUUUGAGCACAUGUUCACUGACAGACGAGUUUUCCUCCAUCUUGCAAGCAUAGAAUUUAUCGGAGGUCUCAUACCUCUCGAUCCGGGCGUUCUUCUGAAAAAUAAACUUCAACUCCUGGAACAUCUCAAAUGCUCCAUGACGCUCAAAGCGACGUUGAAGUCCCGGUUCUAAGCCAUACAAGACUGCACAUUGAACUAUUGAGUAGUCCUCCUUACGUGCUAACCAAGCGUUCUUAACAUCCUGAUCAGCCGUAGCGGGUGGUUCAUCUCCUAGCGCAGCAUUAAGGACAUAAUCCUUCUUUCCAGCUUGUAAGAUUAGCUUAAGAUUACGAGCCCAGUCUACAAAGUUGCUUCCAUCAUCUUUCAACUUAGCUUUCUCUAGGAACGUAUUAAAAUUCAGGAUGACACUUGCGUGAGCCAUGAUCUACAACGCAAAUAUAUUCAAAGUGGACUUAGACUAUGUUCAAGAUAAUUAGAGUUCAACUUAAUCAAAUUAUAUGCUAAACUCCCACUCAAAAAGUACAUCUCUCUAGUCAUUUGAGUGGUUCAUGAUCCAGUUACACUAUCCCAAGUCCGAUCAUCACGUGAGUUGAGAAUAGUUUCAGUGGUAAGCAUCCCUAUGCUAAUCAUAUCGACUAUAUGAUUCAUGAUCGACCUUUCGGUCUCAUGUGUUCCGAGGCCAUGUCUGCACAUGCUAGGCUCGUCAAGCUUAACCCGAGUGUUCCGCGUGCGCAACUGUUUUGCACCCGUUGUAUGUGAACGUUGAGUCUAUCACACCCGAUCAUCACGUGGUGUCUCGAAACGACGAACUGUAGCAACGGUGCACAGUCGGGGAGAACACAAUUUCGUCUUGAAAUUUUAGUGAGAGAUCACCUCAUAAUGCUACCGCCGUUCUAAGCAAAACAAGGUGCAUAAAAGGAUUAACAUCACAUGCAAUUCAUAAGUGACAUGAUAUGGCCAUCAUCACGUGCUUCUUGAUCUCCAUCACCAAAGCACCGGCACGAUCUUCUUGUCACCGGCGCCACACCAUGAUCUCCAUCAACGUGUCGCCAUCGGGGUUGUCGUGCUACUUAUGCUAUCACUACUAAAGCUACAUCCUAGCAAAAUAGUAAACGCAUCUGCAAGCACAUAUGUUAGUAUAAAGACAACCCUAUGGCUCCUGCCGGUUGCCGUACCAUCGACGUGCAAGUCGAUAUUUAUAUUACAACAUGAUCAUCUCAUACAUCCAAUAUAUCACAUCACAUCAUUGGCCAUAUCACAUCACAAUCAUACCCUGCAAAAACAAGUUAGACGUCCUCUAAUUUUGUUCUUGCAUGUUUUACGUGGUGACCAAGGGUAUCUAGUAGGAUCGCAUCUUACUUACGCAAACACCACAACGGAGAUAUAUGAAUUGCUAUUUAACCUCAUCCAAGGACCUCCUCGGUCAUAUCCGAUUCAACUAAAGUUGGAGAAACCAUCACUUGCCAGUCAUCUUUGAGCAAAGGGGGUUACUCGUAACGAUGAAACCAGUCUCUCGUAAGCGUACGAGUAAUGUCGGUCCAAGCCGCUUCAAUCCAACAAUACCGCGGAAUCAAGAAAAGACUAAGGAGGGCAGCAAAACGCACAUCACCGCCCACAAAACCUUUUGUGUUCUACUCGAGAAGACAUCUACGCAUGAACCUAGCUCAUGAUGCCACUGUUGGGGAACGUCGCAUGGGAAACAAAAAUUUUCCUACGCGCACGAAGACCUAUCAUGGUGAUGUCCAUCUACGAGAGGGGAUGAGUGAUCUACGUACCCUUGUAGAUCGUACAGCAGAAGCGUUAGAGAACGCGGUUGAUGUAGUGGAACGUCCUCACGUCCCUCGAUCCGCCCCGCGAACAAUCCCGCGAUCAGUCCCACGAUCUAGUACCGAACGGACGGCACCUCCGCGUUCAGCACACGUACAGCUCGACGAUGAUCUCGGCCUUCUUGAUCCAGCAAGAGAGACGGAGAGGUAGAAGAGUUCUCCGGCAGCGUGACGGCGCUCCGGAGGUUGGUGAUGAUCUUGUCUCAGCAGGGCUCCGCCCGAGCUCCGCAGAAACACGAUCUAGAGGAAAAACUAUGGAGGUAUGUGGUCGGGCAGCCGUGAGAAAGUCGUCUCAAAUCUGCCCUAAAAGCCCCAUAUAUAUAGGAGGAGGGAGGGGGACCUUGCCUUGGGGUCCAAGGGAUCCCCAAGGGGUCGGCCGAGCCAGGGGGGGGGGACUCUCCCCCCCACCCCCAAACCGAGUCCUACUUGGUUUGGUGGGAGGGAGUCCUUCCCCCUUCCCACCUCUCCCUCUUUUUUUUUUCUUUCCUUUGAUUUUUCUAUCUUGGCGCAUAGGGGAUUGGUGGGCUGUCCCACCAGCCCACUAAGGGCUGGUGUGACCCCCCCAAAUACCUAUGGGCUUCCCCGGAGUGGGUUGCCCCCCUCCGGUGAACUCCCGGAACCCAUUCGUCAUUCCCGGUACAUUCCCGGUAACUCCGAAAACCUUCCGGUAAUCAAAUGAGGUCAUCCUAUAUAUCAAUCUUCGUUUCCGGACCAUUCCGGAAACCCUCGUGACGUCGGUGAUCUCAUCCGGGACUCCGAACAACAUUCGGUAACCAACCAUAUAACUCAAAUACGCAUAAAACAACGUCGAACCUUAAGUGUGCAGACCCUGCGGGUUCGAGAACUAUGUAGACAUGACCCGAGAGACUCCUCGGUCAAUAUCCAAUAGCGGGACCUGGAUGCCCAUAUUGGAUCCUACAUAUUCUACGAAGAUCUUAUCGUUUGAACCUCAGUGCCAAGGAUUCGUAUAAUCCCGUAUGUCAUUCCCUUUGUCCUUCGGUAUGUUACUUGCCUGAGAUUCGAUCGUCAGUAUCCGCAUACCUAUUUCAAUCUCGAUUACCGGCAAGUCUCUUUUCUCGUUCCGUAAUACAAGAGCCCGCAACUUACACUAUGUUACAUUGCUUGCAAGGCUUGUGUGUGAUGUUGUAUUACCGAGUGGGCCCAGAGAUACCUCUCCGUCACACGGAGUGACAAAUCCGAGUCUUGAUCCAUACUAACUCAACUAACACCUUCGGAGAUACCUUUAGAGCAUCUUUAUAGUCACCCAGUUACGUUGCGACGUUUGAUACACACAAAGCAUACCUCCGGUGUCAGUGAGUUAUAUGAUCUCAUGGUCAUAGGAAUAAAUACUUGAUACGCAGAAAACAGUAGCAACAAAAUGACACGAUCAACAUGCUACGUCUAUUAGUUUGGGUCUAGUCCAUCACUUGAUUCUCCCAAUGACGUGAUCCAGUUAUCAAGCAACAACGCCUUGUUCAUAAUCAGGAGACACUGACUAUCAUUGAUCAACUGGCUAGCCAACUAGAGGCAUGCUAGGGACGGUGUUUUGUCUAUGUAUCCACACAUGUAAAUGAGUCUUCAUUCAAUACAAUUAUAGCAUGGAUAAUAAACUAUUAUCUUGAUACAGGAAUUAUAAUAAUAACUAUACAUUUAUUAUUGCCUCUAGGGCAUAAUUCCAACAGUCUCCCACUUGCACUAGAGUCAAUAAUCUAGUUCACAUCACCAUGUGAUUCCAACGAAUCCAACACCCAUAUAGUUAUGGGGUCUGAUCACGUCUUGCUCGUGAGAGAGGUUUUAGUCAACGGUUCUGAAACUUUCAGAUCCGUGCGUUCUUUACAAAUAUUUAUGUCAUCUUAUAGAUGCUGCUACUACGUGCUAUUCGGAAAUGCUCCAAACAUCUACUCUACUAUACGAAUCCGUUUCACUACUCAUAGUUAUCCGGAUUAGUGUCAAAGCUUGCAUUGACGUAACCCUUUACGACAAACUCUUUAACCACCUCCAUAAUCGAGAAAAAUUCCUUAGUCCAUUAGUUACUAAGGAUAAAUUUCGACCGCUGCUAGUGAUUCAAUCAUGGAUCACUCUCUGUACCUCUCAACAGACUUUGAGUCAAGGCACACAUCAGGUGCGGUACACAGCAUGGCAUUCUUUAGAUUCUACGGCUAAGGCAUAGAAGACGACCUUCGUCUAUUCUCUUUAUUCUGCCGUGGUCGGGUUUUGAGUCUUACUCAAAUUCACACCUUACAAUGCAACCAAGAACUCCUUCUUUACUGAUCUAUUUUGAACACCUUCAAAAACUUGUCAAGGCAUGCAUCUUGUUGAAACUUCUAUUAAGCGCUUUUGAUCUAUCUCCAUAGAUCUUUGAUGCUCAACGUUCAAGUAGCGUAAUCCAGGUACUCCUUUGAAAACUUCUUUCAAACAACCUUGUAUGCUUUACAGAAAUUCUACAUUACUUCUGAUCCACAAUAUGUCAACCACAUAUACCUAUCAGAAAUUCUAUAGUGCUCCCACUCACUUCUUUGGAAAUACAAGUUUCUCAUAAACCUUGUACAAACCCAAAAUCUUUGAUCAUCUCAUCAAAGUAUACAUAUUCCAACUCCGAGAUGCUUGCACCAGUCCAUUGAAGGAUCGCUGGAACUUGCAUACUUGCUAGUAUCUUUAGGAUCGACAAAACCUCCUGGUUGUAUCACAUACAAUGUUUGCUCAGGGAAACCGUCGAGGAAACAAUGUUUUGACAUCCUACGUGCAAUAUUUCAUAAAUAAUGCAUCAACAACUAACAUAAUUCUAACAGACCUUUAGCAUCGCUACGAGUGAGAAAGUCUCAUCAUAGUCAACCAUUUGAUCUUGUCGAAAACAUCUUUGCGACAAGUCGAGCUUUUCUUAAUAGUGACUUAUCACCAUCAUCGUCUGUUUUCCUUUAAAGAUCCAUCUUUAUGGCUAUGUUACUGCUUGCUUAACCCUGUUGUUAGCGUUGCUAGUUGCAGGUGUAGUUGCUUCCAUGUGAUAACAUGGGUUCCUUGUCUUAUCACCAUAUUGAUGCUAUUUAAUUUAAUGCACCUAUACACUUGGUAAAAGGUGGAAGGAUCGGCCUUUCUACCCUGGUGAUUUGUUCGACCUUUGACCCCUUAGUUUUCGGCUACCGGUGUUAUGUUCCAUAAAUGAGCGCUCCUAACACGAUCGGGGUUAUUAUGGGGACCCCCUUGAUAAUUCGUUUUAGAUUAAAGCUGGUCUGGCAAGGCCCAACUUUGGUACUACAUUUGCCUAACAACUUAUGAACUGCAUAGGGAGUAAUUAACCCGAAGAAAUUUAAUCAACCCCCGGGCCAGUGCUCCUCAUGAGUGUUGGACCUAAGUGGACAGACUGUGGGGCCACCACGGGUCAACUCGAGGUUUGGUACGUGUAGACUUUUCCAUCCGUCGUGUCCUGAGAACGAGAUACGCGGCUCCUAUCGGGAUCGUCGACACGUCGGGCGGCAUUGCUGGAUUAGUUUUACCUUUGAUGAGAUAUCUUGUGCAUCGAGAUUCCAGUGCUGCUUUGGGUAAUCUCAGAGUUGAGGUUUUCCACUAGGGAAUCCGACGAGAUCGCGAGCUUCGUGAUUGAGGAUUUCUAUGCGGCUUGUGGUAAUUUGUGAUGGACUAGUUGGAGCACCCGUGCAGGGUUAAAUCUUUUCGGAAAGUCGUGCCUGCGGUUAUGUGGCAACGUGGAAGCUUUGUUUAACACUCGUUCUAAAUAACUUGAAGUUAAAUUUUAUUAAAACUUGCCAACUGUGUGCGUAACCGUGACUGUCUCUUUCGUGAGUUCCUUCUCCGAUCGAGGACACGGUGGGGUUAUGUCUGGCGUAGGUAGGUGUUCAGGAUCAUUCAUUUGAUCAUAAGUAGUUCACGCCCGCUAUGCUUAGAUCUUCCCCCUCUUAUUUCUUGUACUCGUAAGUUAUAUAUCGGAGAGUAGGAUUAUUUUUUCUCCUCUUCUAUACUCUGGUGAGGAAUCUUGACGUAAUAAUUUAUUUUACUCCUCUUCUCACUCAAAUUUUUUUUAGGAUUACGCGGAUAUUUUUGGAAUCUAUAUGAUGGCGAUGUGACGGAGUUCUGUCUUGGUGCCUCCUGUCUGAUUUGAUUUUCUUCCGGGGAGUUGAGCUCGAGGGGGUUCUCGAGCACAUCAUUAUCAUUCAGAUUUCUUAGUAUCUCAGAACGAAGGAUGUUCGUAAUUGCUUCAAUACUAGUAGUGGCGAGAUAACCCCAAUGUCCCCAGUACUGGUGAAGAUUGUUCGGGAGUACUGCCAUACUUUGUAUCAUUGUGAUCACGAGGGUCUGUUGUAGAUGAAGGUCCGAGAUUCUGGCCGUGUGUUGACGGAUGUGAUACAGGUGACGGGUUAGUAUAGGAGUUGUGUGAUUAUUACUCCUUGUAUCCAUGUACCAGAUUGCAUGGCCAGAUAUUUCGGGAAUUCUUAGGUGGGAAUUCAAGUAGUUGCUUAUAGGACAAUCUUCCAACAAAUGCAUGAUGUUAGGUUGGGGUUCGACAUCUAGUGGAUUCGUUUGUUGACUGUCGACUUACAGUGGUACACGUUGUGUCUUAAAUAGUCCUUGUAGCUUGCUACGACUUGGGGACGCUUCGUAUGUCGGGUGCAUUUCCUUGCACUUGAUGGCUACUGUAAAAUCGAGCCCGUGCGAUCCUGUCCACGAAAAUAUCGCACGAAAUCUUUCUCACGAGUUUGUUCUCGCUUGUUUCAUAAGCCUCAUCCCUUUGUUUUGCUGAAUAUGGUAAUUCGUGUUGCUUCGAUGUAAAGUGGUGAUUUCAGAUCUUUCCUAAGAGGUGUUCUCAUAUUUUUAUGUGAGAAUGCAAAUUCUUUUGUUCAUUCAAAUUGCCUUAUCAGUUCUGUCAUCCGUAGUCGUCAUGUCAAUUCUUUGUAACCGGUGUGCCUCUAUUCAACUGAAUUCUAUCCUCUCCAAUUUUGCAAGAUCAUUCUCUCAAUUCUUUUCGGAGUUCAUCUCAUUUGUCUCAAGUUGUAUUUGUUUUUCCCCACCCUCCCGCCCUUUUUUUCUCAGUGAUUCAAUUUUCAUCCAGGAGUUUCUUUUCAUUGUGCUUCCGCUGUCUGUUCUUUUCUCUCUUACCUGGUGAUUCAUUGUGAAGAUUCUCACGAGAUUCGUGUCAUAUUUGUUCAUUCUUGUCAUCCUUACCGGUGAAUUUAAUUCAGUAUCCCUGUCAUCAUGUCCUUUUCAUCCUUGUUAAUUCUUUCCUAUAUUGGAAACUCUUAUGAGCCUAUCUUGUUACUAAUUCCUCUCUCUUUCUAUCCGGAGUGUUAAAGAUAUUUCAGAUGUUCUGGUUUUCAAUCCUUCAGUUAUUUCGAGGUGCUAACCUCAUCUAGUAUUCUUGUACCGGUGCAAUAUCUCUCUUCUAAGCAAUCUUUUCUAACGGUGGCUUCUUUGAGUUGGCCCAUAACCCACAGGCUUUCCCAGGAUCUUUCCUGGCUCUUUUAAUCUUUUCCAGGAGAUCUCUAAAUCUUUUCAACUAUGACGUAAGUAUGAAUUUCAUCAGUCAUAGUCCUUCUUCAAGGCCUAUUUGAAUUAAUUCUCAUAUUGGCUCAAAAUUUCAUUCAUCUCUAUUCCGGAGUAUCUCAGUUAUUCUUGGUGGUGUUCUCCUCAUCAUUUCAGCUUUGAAGACCGAAGGAGUGUUUCUCCCAAAUCUUUGUCAUUCAAUUGUAGAUUCAUCAUUUCAGCUUUGUGCCAUCAUCGUAAUUGUUGUCAAUCAUGAGUAUCCCUUUCUGGCUAUCCGGUGCAUUUCUGAGUCGUUUUUAUUCUCGAUCCUCCGAAGGCCAUCAUUUUAGAAGAUUCUUCGUUCUCAACUUUUAGCUUUCAUCCUCAAUUCUUCUCCAUUGUUGUCUCUUCGUUCGUCUCUCGAUUAUCCGGUGCCUUGUUCUAGUUUCUCUUAGGUGGCUCAUGAUCUCUUCAUUCUCGUGUAUUUCCAUUAAUUCUUGGUUUUCCCAUUCAAUUGUGAAUUCUUACCAGUGCGUCCUUCAAUCAUGCCUCAAGUGGUGCUUAUCUCUCUGCCUCUUCAAGAUUCAUUUCUAGUAGAAUAAGUGAUAUGCUAAAUCUGUUGCUUGUCAUCAAUUUAACUUGAUGAAGGAUUAGCAUAACAUAAUUCUUAUUCUUGUUUCAUCAAAUGAUUUCAAUUCUUCUUCCUGAGUGGCUCAUGAUAUCAAUUCCUUUUUCUCAACUGUUAUUAUCUUUUCUUUUCCGGAGUUCCAAGUUUUCUCAAGAAUCUCUUUGUGAGGCUUCAUCUAAAUCUUGGCAAGGUCAUAAUCUUAUUGUUUUCUACCUUGAUAUCUUUGCAUCAUUCAUUCGUAUACGGAGGUCCUUCUUGGUGGUUCAUCAAGGUUUGAAUCCAUUCUCAUGUGUUCUUCAAUAUUCUUGUUGGAGAACCUCAAGUAUCCUUUCCCUUGCAUUUCCAAUGCGUUUGUUCUCCUUUAUCCUUUGAGGUGGUAUUAUAGCAUUCUUGUUAGUGUAGGAGCCUCGAAGAGUUUUCCUUUCAGGAAUGAGAUAAUUAUAUCCACCAAUCCUUUGAUCAUGAGAUUAUUAUUAACUCAUGGUUUCUUCAUUGAGCUAUCUUGGUUUGGAUUUCACCUAAAGCUUUUCCUAUGGAUUGUUGCUAUCAUGGUGCUUGUCUUUAAUCCAAGUUCUCAAUGCACCCUCGGUGUAAGAAGUUUUGAUAUCUUUGCUUUCAACUAUCCUUGUUUCUUUUAGUGGUUGGUUGUUACCUCAUAUAUGUUGAGAUGAUCUUCAUAAGCCCACUACUGUCUUCUUCUUCGUUGUUGAUUUUCCAACUACUCCGUCAAUUCUCUGUCAGGAGGCUCUUCAAUUCUAUUGUGAUGAUUGUUGUCAUUCUUUUCUUCAUUCUCUCCUUCCGUAUGAGCUAUGCCAUAUUCUCUUGUUCCGGAGGCAUUGUGAUGUUGCUCUUUUGGGUCAAUCUUGUUGUUCUAUCAAGACCAUGGUGUUCCCUUGCUCUAUUUUGUUGUUUGUUAUGAAUAUUGUCUAAUUCUCUCUUCUUAUCGAAUUUUUUGUCCCAUUUUCCUACCGAAGUGUUGCCGAAAUUUUCCGCGAAUUCUUGCUUCUUUCUCAUAUCAUUCCUCAUCUCUUUGCAACUUUCAAGGAUUGUUGGUGUCACUCGUUUGUCAAAGAAGCGACUAAGUUUUGCCUCUUGUUCUUUCUCAUCCUCUCCCCCCUUUCAUUCUUGGAUCUCGGGGCGAGAUCCUCUUGUAGUGUACGAGAGUUGUGACAGCCCGAGACCGACGUUCCAGAAGAUUCCCCUUUAUUUCCGUUUCCGUCGUGUGGUUAUUUUAUUUCGUUUGUUGCAUCGUCAUGUAGUUUGCAUCAUGGCAUCAUGCAUGGUAUCAUGACAGCUGUGUUUUGUCGGUGUUGCUUGUUGCUCCGUGUUGUGGGGUGUUUUGCUUGUGAGUGCUUGUGAGUGCUUGUGAGUGUGGCGUUGUUCGAUGGCGUGAUGAGAGUGGGUGCUACAGAGCCGCUUCGAACCGUGUGACACCGUGGACCUAAAACCCUUCUCUCCUCUCUAUUCUAUUUUGGUGGUUGCGUAAAAGAUUUCGGUUUCAACCCCCUUUAAAAGUUCAUCUUCUUUUAAAAUCAUUUUAUUAAAUGUAGGGGCAACCCCUUGGGUUUCCUUUAUUUUUUUUCCUUUGGUUAUUUUCUAAAACAGUCUCACUUUCUCGUCUCCUUUAAAGACCUUUUAUUUUAUUCUUUAAAUAAAAGAGGUUUUAUUUUAUUCUCUUGUCAAAAGGGGUUUAGAUUUUAUUCUUUUGUGAAAGGGCUUUAUUUCAAUACUUAAAAAAAGGUUUCAUUUUUUAUUCGUUUAAAAAAAUGCCCAAAAACUAUUUCUUAUAGUUGGGGUAUAUUUUUUUCAAAGGAGUCAACAACAUUUAUUUUUUAUUUUUGUUUAAACCUAUUUAUUUUGUUUGGUUGAGUUUCUGUUUUUUUUAAAUAAAGCAAAAGAGAGAGGAGGAGGCCCACUUGGGCCGUAGCCCAGCUACCCCAACCCUAGCGACAGCCCGUUUUCCCCUCGUACUCCCGAGCGCCAUCAUCCUCGUCUCUCCCCUCCUCUCGUGCCUUCCUCCUCCCGCAGAGCUCUCCCCAGCACCGUCUCGUUCCCCAUCGUCGCUCGAUCCUCUCCUCCCCGAUCCCCAUGGCCUCGGUUCGCUAGCAGCUCCCCGACCGCCCGCCGGCAGCUCCCGCGCGCUGCCCUCGCUCGCGCCUGCCCGGUGCCCCGCGCCUCCCCGACGGCCUCCCCUGCAGCCCGUCGUGCUCCUCCCCUGCCAGCAUCGAGGCCCUCUGUGUGUCGUCCACGCCGGCGCCGUGCACCGCCGGCUUGCCUGCCCCUUGCCGGUUUGCCCUGCUGCCCGACCUCGCCCUUGCCGAGCAAGCCGCCGCCAGCCUCGCUGCGUCGCCGGGUGCUCGCCGUAGCUGCUGCUGCCGCUUGUUCCCCUUGCGUCGCCUGCCGUUGUUCUGCUUGCUGCUGCCUGGCGUGCUGCCGUCCCCCGCGAUCCCCUGUCGCUGUGCCGAGCCGCUGCAUGUGCCCGUUGCUGUGCCCGAUGUGCUGCUAUGCUGCCGAGGAAUGUGUAGCGCCUUGCUGCUGCUUGUCGUUGCCAAGCUGCCGCCGCUGUAGCUGUUGCUUGCUGCGUAGCUUGUUGCUGCCGUGCAUGCUAGGAUAGUUGCUAAGCUGCUGCUUGCCUGUAGGUGGUUGCUGCUUAGAUGCAGUUUUGUUGUAGCUUGUGUCGAUGUGUGACUGAUGGUUGUUGCUUGCUUGCUGCCCAUGCCGGCUAGUGCUUGUUGUUAGGCUGUAGUUAGUUGCUUGUUGAUGCUAGCUGCCGGUGCUUAUUGCUGUAGCUGCCAUAUAGGUUUAGUUGCUUGCUUGUCCUGCUUGCCGUGUUGUUUGCUCGUGCUGCCGCCUGCGUCGCCGCGUGCACCAUCCCCGUCGCCGUGGAUUGAGUUCACGAGUACCACGACGUCCUUGACGACUCCCGGAAACGAGUUCGACUACCGUCGCCGAAGACCGUGAACCACGACGCCAAGCGAACGACUACCAUUGACAAGACCGAGUACCUCGACUUCCACGACGACCACGACGUCCUCUACGAACCGAUCCGCUCCGAUAUGCACGCUUCAAAGGUAUACCGAUGAGACGUUGUCGUGAACGCGUGCAUGUGAUGUAUGAGAUGAAUGUAUGUUUGCACCGUAUGUUGGUCGUUGCACGUUGUCCCUCUUUUGUUGUGCCUCGACACAUGGGAACCCGGUAACCGGGAUCACCCCAUCUUUAUUUAGCGUUCCCGCACACGCUUCCUAUGCAUUGGCACGAUAUCUCAACGAGUUAUCGGAUAGGAACGUUGUCGUGGCAUCGUUUCCGUCUUGCCGCCAUGGUAUCCUUGGCUCGUCGUGGCGACACCUGUUUCUUUCUCUUCUUGCCCGUGAUGUUGAACUUGCAUGCAUGGCGCAUUUAUGGCAUGUUAUCAUGUGUUGCAUGCCUCUUGUGCCGUAGCUCCGUUCUAUGCUCUGCGUGUUAACGUCAUAUAGGAUCAUCGCUUCACCCGUUGCCAUGUUAACUACAAUUUAAUAUUGCCGUGUAAAUAACUGGGAGUGAACUAAAUAAUUAAUCAUGGAGUUUCGUCGAUAUGUAACUCAUUGCAUAUCGAGUUUCACUUAAUGUGUAGUGUUUGCAUGAGGUGAUUUGCCAUGCCAUCCCUUGCAUUUUAACCUGAUCAUGCAUCAUAGUAGGUUGUGCAUCUUGUGUCUUGCAUCGUGUGGUGAAUAUCGUGUGUUGAUUCUUGUUUCCGGUUUGCUUCGUUCCGAUAGAGUUCCGCAAGCGUGUCGGAAUGUGAGGACCUGUUCGACUACGUUAGUUCGACUGCUUCACGGAGUUGUUCUUCUUCCAAGCGGGAUCUCAGGCAAGAUGACCAUUUCCCCAGAUACCAUUACUAUCAUUGCCAUGCUAGUUUUACCGCUGCUAUCGUUUAUGUCUCGUUGCCUACCACAUGUUAAAUUUCAACCUCUCAACAAUGUCAUGAAAACCUUCAACCUGGUUAACCUAGCAAACCACUGAUUGGCUAUGUUACUGCUUGCUUAACCUUGUUGUUAGCGUUGCUAGUUGCAGGUGUAGUUGCUUCCACGUGAUAACAUGGGUUCCUUGUCUUAUCACCAUAUUAAUGCUAUUUAAUUUAAUGCACCUAUAUACUUGGUAAAAGGUGGAAGGCUCGGCCUUUCUAGCCUGGUGAUUUGUUCCACCUUUGCCCCCUUAGUUUUUGGCUACCGGUGUUAUGUUCCAUAAAUGAGCGCUCCUAACACGAUCGGGGUUGUUAUGGGGACCCCCUUGAUAAUUCGUUUUAUAUUAAAGCUAGUCUGGCAAGACCCAACUUUGGUACUACAUUUGCCUAACAACUAAUGAACUGCAUAGGGAGUAAUUAACCCGAGGAAAUUUAAUCAACCCCCGAGCUAGUGCUCCUCAUGAGUGUUGGUCCAAAGUGGACAGACUGCGGGGCCACCACGGAGCAACUCGAGGUUUGGUACUUGUAGGCUUUUCCAUCCAUCGUGUCCUGAGAACGAGAUACGCGGUUCCUAUCGGGAUCGUCGACACGUCGGGUAGCCUUGCUAGAUUAGUUUUACCUUUGACGAGAUAUCUUGUGCAUGGGGAUUCCGGUGAUGCUUUGGGUAAUCUCAGAGUUGAGGUUUUUCACUAGGGAAUCCGACGAGAUCGCGAGCUUCGUGAUUGAGGAUUUCUAUGCGGCUUGUGGUAAUUUGUGAUGGACUAGUUGGAGCACCCCUGCUGGGUUAAAUCUUUUCGGAAAGUCGUUCCCGUGGUUAUGUGGCAACGUGGAAGCUUUGUUUAACACUGGUUCUAGAUAACAUGAAGUUAAAUUUUAUUAAAACUUGCCAACUGUGUGCGUAACCGUGACUGUCUCUUUCGUGAGUUCCUUCUCCGUUCGAGGACACGGUGGGGUUAUGUCUGACGUAGGUAGGUGUUCAGGAUCAUUCAUUUGAUCAUCAAUAGUUCACGUCCGCUAUGCGUAGAUCUUCCCCCUAUUAUUUCUUGUACUCGUAAGUUGAGCCACCAAAUAUAUGCUUAGCCGCUGUUGCAACCUCACCACUUAACCUUACUUCACCCAUUAAGCUUUGCUAGUCUUGAUACCUUUGGAAAUGAGAUUGCUGAGUCCCCUGUGGCUCACAGAUUGCUACAACACCAGUUGCAGGUACAGUUUAAGGUUACUCGACGCGAGCGCGUUGAUUGUUCAUUUGGAGUUGCUUCUUCUUCUUCUUCUUCGUCGUCGAUCUAGGAUGGGUUCCAGGUCGAUCUAGGAUAAGGAUGGAUAUCGUUCUUCUUUUCUCGUUUAUUUUCGUCCGUAGUCGGACCCUGCUCUUACUCUUGAUGAUUAUGUAAUGUACUGAUGUGACUCUGAUGUAGCUUGUGGCGAGUGUAAGCCAAUUCUAUUAUAUAUCUCUUCUUUUCAAUACAUGUACUUGUAACGAUAUCCAUUCUUGCGACACGACGAGAUGCGCUUCUAUCCCUGACGAGGCCCCCGUGCCAAAUUGAGGAUAGGGUUGCAUCUUGGACAUGACAUGUUGUCACUUGAUAACUGGAUCACAUCAUUAGGAGAAUGAUGUGAUGGACAAGACCCAAAUUAUAAACGUAGCAUGUGAUCGUGUUAUUCUGUUGCUAUUGUUUUCUGCAUGUCACAUAUUCAUUCCUAUGACCAUGAGAUAAUGUAACUCACUGACACCGGAGUAAUACCUUGUGUGCAUCAAACGUCACAACCUUACUGGAUGACUAUAAAGGUGCUCUAUAGGUAUCUUCGAAGGUGUCAGUUGAGUUAGCAUGGAUUAAGACUGAGAUUUAUCACUCCGUGUGACGGAGAGGUAUCUCGGGGGCCACUCGAUAAUACAACAUCACAUACAAGCCUUACAAGCAAUGUGACUCAAGUGUAAGUCACGGGAUCUUGUAUUACGGAACGAGUAAAGAGACUUGCCGGUAACGAGAUUGAAAUAGGUAUAGAGAUACCGACGAUCAAAUCUCGGGCAAGUAACAUACCGGUGACAUUUUAGUAUAGUUAAGUUAUAUGAGUUGGUGAUCGAAGGUUGUUCGGAGUCCCGGAUGAGAUCACGGACGUCACGAGGGUUUCCGGAAUGGUCCAAAAACGAAGAUUGAUAUAUAGGAUGGUUUCAUUUGGUCACCGGAAAGAUUUCGGGCAUUACCAACACUGUACCGGGAGUGACGAAUGGGUUCCGGAUAUUCACCGGGAGGGGCCCACCCACCCAGGGGUGAGCCCAGUAACCCUAGGGUCACGCACCAGCCCUUAGUGGGCUGGUGAGGCCAGCCCAAGUGGGCUAUGGCGCCACAAGGAAAAAAACCAAAAGAAAGAAAAAAAAGGAAAGAGGAAGGUGGGAAGGAAGGAGUGGACUCCUUCCCCCAAACCGAAUUGGGGUGGGAGUCUACCUCCUCCUCUCGGCCGGCGCCCUUGGGGCUCCCUUGAACUCCAAGGCUAGCCCCUCCCCUCCUCCUAUAUAUAUUCGUGAUUUUAGGGCUUUUGAGACACAACUUUGCCACGUGCAACUCAAACCUAUACCAUGUAAUUCUUCCUCUGGAUUAGAAUUUUGCGGAGCUCGGGCGAAGCCCUGCAGGAAUAGAUCAUCACCAACACCGGCGCGCCGUCACGCUGCCGGAGAACUCAUCUGCUUCCCCGUCUCUCUUGCUGGAUCAAGAAGGCGGAGAUCGUCAUCGAGCUGUACAUGUGCUGAACGCGAAGGUGUCGUCCUUUCGGUACCAAAUCGGGACGGAUCAUGGGACGACGGUGAUUUGAAUCACGAAGCUGUAUCACUACAUCAACCGCGUUUCUUAAUGCCUCCCGCUUAGCGGUCUACAAGGGUAUGUUGAUCCGAUCUCCCUCUCGUAGAUGAACAUCGCCAUGAUAGGUCUUCGUGCGCGUAAGAAUUUUUUUUUCCCAUGCAACGUUUCCCCAACGGUGGCAUCAUGAGCUAGGUUCAUGCAUAGAUGUAAUCUCGAGUAGAACACAAAAGUUUUUAUGGGCGUUGAUGUUCGAUUUGCUGUCCUCCUUAUUUUUUUCUCGAUUUGACGGUAUUGUUUGAUUGAAGCGGACCGGACCGGCAUUACUCGUACGCUUAAGAGCACUUCCUGUAUAUGUGUCGCAUGUAGACGGCCAAGCCUACGUGGCAUACGUCCUCAAUAUGUUUUCUCGUUCUUUUCGAUCUUCAAGAAAUGUGCGUGGUGGGGAAUUCGUACUCCUAACCUCAUGAUUUACUUCUAUUUCUAAUAAACAGCUGAGAUAGGUUACUUCUUGUGCCCACUUGCUUUCUUUUACACUUUUUAUGUGGCAAAUAUAACUUGUGAACUUUCAGGCUGAGUUUUUUCUUCAUGUUUUUUUAACCGGGGUUUGUUGUGUUUUACUCUGGGUUUUUUUCAAAUAUGUGAACUUCUCAGAAUAUAUUUUUUUCAAAUUUCUGAUAUUUUUCUCAAAUUUGUGAACCUCUUCAACUUUUGGAGCUAUUUUUGCUACUAUUCUUGUGAAAAAAAAAUUACUCAUUUUUUUUCAAAACCAUGAAAGUAAUUUUUUCAGAAAUCGAUGAACUUUUUUGAAAUCCGUGAGCACUUGCGACAGCCCAACAGACGCCCGAUGGGACGAUAACAUCACCUAGUUCGGCCAAGGACUAAGCGUAAUUUUCUAUUCUACUUUUUUUGUAUUUCUUAUCUUUUUUCGUUAAUUUAUUCUUCUCCUUUCUGAACUUUAUUCUUCUUCUUGAAACAUGUUCAAAAAAUUGAAUGUUGGAAUACCCAAAAAUGUUCUCAUUUUCAAAUGUUGUUUACAAUUUUAGAAAAUGUUCUAGAAUUUCAAUAAAUAUUUGGGUUUCAAAAUAAGUUGAUAUUUUUAUAAUUACAUGGUUUGCGAUUUGUCCUAAAAAAAUUCAUGAAUUGUGGUGAAUUUGUUAACAAUUUUGAAAAAAGUUUCAAAUUUUUAUAAAAAAAAUCAGAAACAAUUUGCAAUUUGAAAAAUGUUUAAAAAAUUCAAGAAAUUGUUAAGACAUAAGAAAAUUUCAUGUUGAUUGAUAAUGACGGAAAACUGCAAAUAACAGAAGCAUUCUAAUUGGGAGGAAAUACAUGCUCUCAUGGAUGCAUUCAUGGGACCUGGUGGGCCACUUUUCUCUCAACUCAACUUCAGGCACCAUUUGCGCGUUGCAACACGUACGACCAUUUGUCGGUCAUUUUCAUCAUGAAAGCUCCAGAAAAUGCAUAAUUAGAUGAAAAUUCAAAAAAAUAUGUAAUUCAUAUAAGUUGGUGUAAAUUUUUUGGGGCAGUUUGAUGGAUGUUGAAAAACAACGUGCUUUCUAAUGUGGACCUUCCUUGCCCUAGCAAAACACCAUUUAUUGUACAUGGUCUAUUUUUAGACAUCCUUAAAAUAACCCCAACUUUAGUCCAUGGCCAUGUUAGGUAUCCAGUCCUGGUCUGGACGACUUUUGACAUUGUAUACAAGUUGCGAAACGUCCGAUCAUUUAUCGACAUUUUAAACCAAGAAAACUCGAGGAAAUACAAAAAAGUUUGAAAACACAAACAACUUGGCAUGGUGCUUAGAAUUGGUCAAUCAAGACUGUGAAAAAAACUGGAGCAAUUUCAAGGAUAUCAAAAAACGUAGUGCUCAAGGAUGGAGCCUUUUAUCAUACUCGGACACCCUACGUUCAAGAUGGUCUAUUUCUUGACAUCCUUGCAAUGAUCCCAACUUUUACCAACAUGUGGACAUGCCUAUGAUAGACAUCCAUGCCAGGUUUAAAGAAAAAAAUAUUUAAAAUCAUAAUUUAAAUAUGUACUUAAAAUGUUAUUUUCAGUUUUGAACAUAACUAACUAAUAAGGGAUAAAUUCACAAUUUAAGUUUUUUUAAAAGACCAUUUGAUAAUUUGAAGGAAACAAGAAUUUAAAACCAUAAUUUAAAACAGUUAAUUAAAACAGUUAUUUUGGUAUUCCGAAAAAUUUGAACAGGUUUCAAAGAGAACAAAACAUUUCAAAAGGGAGAAAAAUGAAUUGACGAAAAAAACAAGAACACUGAGAAAAAUAGAAAAAAUAUGCUUAGGCCUUGGCCAAACUAGGCGAUGGCAUCGCACCCCUCGGGCGCCUGUUUGGCUGGCCCAAGCGAUCCUGGAUUUGAUAAAAGCUCAUUGAUUAAGUUCCUCAUUCAUUUCUUAACACAGCUCCAUACUUCUAAAGCGUAUAAGCUUAUUGCUGUAAUAAAUGGACAUCUCCAGUAAGAUAACUCAUAUGAGGCUUUCUCUGGACUUUAGCUAAUACAGAAACAAGUUGUAAAAAAAAACGUUCCGGUUUAGGGUACCUUAGCCUCCCAGCUAUUUUUUCCAGUUUUGGGAACCACACUUUUGUCUUUUUCUUUUCUUUUCUCCUUUCAUCUUCUCUCCUGUAUAUUCUUUAUGUUUCCUUUUCCUUUCCUUUUAUUUAUGUUCGACAUUUCCAAUUUUCUGUUUAAGUUUCCAUUUUUGAAAAGUUUUAAUAUUUCAGAAUUUCAAAUCUUUCUUUGGAAUUUUUAAAUGUUUCAUUUUUUAAAAUUUGUUCAUUCUUUACAAUUUGGUUUUCGUAUUUUCAAAACAAAAAUGUGCAAAAUUUCGUUUUUUAGAUUUAUUAAUCAAUGUUCAGAAUUUCCAUGUUUUGUUCAGGUUUAUUUUUUAUACUUACUAAUUAAUGUGACAAAAAAUGAUCACAAUUAAUAUAAAAGGUUCAUAAAUUCAAAAAAUUGUUCGCUGUCAAAUUCUGUUUAGGGUUUCAACAGGUGUUCUGAUUUUAAAAUUUGUUCACAAAUUCAAAAAAAAAGUUCACAAGUUUGUAUUUUUUUACAGUAAAAAUAAGACUAAGUUUGUGAUUUUGAAAAAGUUUGGAAUUUAUGAACCUUUGUGAAUCUAAGAAAAUGUUAUUGAAUUUGAAACAAUGGUCAAGAAUCUUCAAAGUUCAAAAUUUUAAGAUAAGUUGAUUAUUUUAAUAUUUUUUUGCGAAUUUUAGAAGGGAAAAAACAAAAAAAAGGAUGGGAAACAGAAAACAAAUAAAAAAACAGAAGAAGAAAUGAGCGUGGAAGGUUGUCGUGAUGAUAUUGGUGUUAGUUGAAGUGCAAGGACUAAAGAAUAAGGUGGGAUGAAAAACAAACGUGUACCAAAGCGGGCUCGUGAUGAUAUUGGUAUUAGUUGAAGUGCAAAGAGUAAAGAAUACGGUGGGAUGAAAAACUUGCCAAAGAGAAGACAAAAGAGUUAUCAGCGAAAAGAANNNNNNNNNNNNNNNNNNNNNNNNNNNNNNNNNNNNNNNNNNNNNNNNNNNNNNNNNNNNNNNNNNNNNNNNNNNNNNNNNNNNNNNNNNNNNNNNNNNNGUGGCUGAGGUGGUGUGGAGCUGGGUGAAAACCAUGUCUUGGCCUUGUGUCAUGACCAGCGAUGGCGGCGGCUGUGGCCGUCGUUGACCUUCAUGGAGACAUCAUUGCCUUGUUCUUCCAUCCCUCUUGCGUGGAUCUGGCCUUUUUAGGCCUCUCCGGGGGAGACCUUGCGGCGCCUUGGUGUCGUAUUCUCUCUUAGGGGCUUCGUCUUGGGAGCUUGGCAUCGGCGAACAAGACCGGUGGAUGACGGUUGGUGGUGAGUGUGGCGUCCAGGCUUCGGUGACAACGAUGAUGGUGGGAGUGAUGUCGGUGAUGCGGCAAUGGUUGUCGUAGUCGGCUCUUAUUCGACAUGUUCACGGUUUUGCCUCAGUUUGUUUGUUGCUUUGGAGUCAAAGCUGCUGCGGCGGGGUCCUGUGGUAUACGAUGACUAGCUGCAGGUAUCCCGUUCGACGAUCUCUCGUUGCACCAACCGUGCCUGGUUUUGUCCUACAGAGUUCUUCGUCAGAAGUAGAUAUUGCGUCGUCUCGUCGGAGGGGUUGAGAUUUUGGAACAGAUCUUCAUGCAGUUUCGCGUGUUCGUACAGUACGAGUUGAGUCGACUAUCGACUACGACGUAGUUGGAGUUGUCUGCUCAGAGUAUAGGGAUGACGAUGAGGCCUGCGUGCUGUCUUGCUAAGACCCUUUUUAAAGUGAUGCGCGUGAGCUUUUUUAUGUGUGACGCUCAACGGUUACAACGGUUUUUGUUUAGUUUUUCAUAAUUAGGUGAGCUAUUUGGUUUUCGCUUCGUUUUUCCAAUUAACCGAGCAAUUUUUUCCUUCUCAAUGAAUGCUGCCAUUUCGGAAAAAGAAAAAAGCAAACCAAUGGCGUUCCGAAGCAGUGCGCAUAAUCUGAACCCAUCUGGCAGUGCAGCGGCCAUCUCAAUUUCGAUGGGAAUUACCACGACAACGGAGCAAGUCAUUUAAACGCAUGAUGGGGACAAUAAUUCGGUGCUGCUCGUUACAUCAGCCUCAAGCUCGCUCAACUGCCGUAUUAACUCCUCGAUAGCGGUACGGCAUUCCGUGACGGAAAUGCAGACGCCACUGCUGCCUGCAGCCCUGCAGGAGAGAAGCAGUACGACUGAAGCUUGUGAGCCAUGACACAGGCCAACGUGGCCGAAAGCCUGAGCCACGCCCACGCUCUCUCUCUCUCUCUCUCUCGUUCUGCCGAGCAGUAAAAACUCCGGUGCAGAGCCACUCUACCAUGUGAGGAGCUCAGCUCCGCUCUGGAGCAGCGUGGAAGGGCCUCCUAUAAAACCCAUUUCCCUUCCACCGUCGCUGCACACAGACUGCACUGCGCCACCACCAUAUCCGAAAUAGCUCAGCUCAGCCUCAGCUGCACUUCCCACCGAGCUCGGCUGGACUGGUGACACGGUUACACACGCCAUGGCUCCCCUGCUCUUCAAGGACAUGAGGAGCCUCUCGUGCUC
rnacentral:lncRNA from 1 species